GAUGUGCUUGUCCGGUAUCCAGCAUGUUGCACCGAAAAAAGAUGGUGCUAUAAUUGGCCAGUGACUAAGUUGUACCAUUCCUUGAACAAACUUAUAUUCGCUCGCGAUAAGAUGUCUAUGGCUCAUCUACAAGAUGGGAACAAAAGGAACAGCUUCAGCAUAGUAUGCUAUCUUAACUGCCACUGUACCUAUCAACCAGAUGAACUAAUUUGAAGAAUGCAGGCCACUGAAAAAAUUAAGCCUCUGUAACAUAGGGAGUCUCAGUGAUGAACCUUUGUGUGUUCUCGUUUUUUAUUUUGAGAGUGUUGUUUCUUUGAAAUGAGAGUGGAGUUCUUGCUCCUCCCCAAUCCCAAAAUCCUCAUGUAACUAUAUGCUACUCUCUGUAACUGCUUGAUGCUGUGAUAAUAUAUGUUCAGGCCGGCGUAAGCCCAUCGUUGUGAUAACUGCUCUAUAUUAUUCUUAUUCAGUCAAAAACUGUAAUUAUGAGUCAUAAACUGUAGCUACUACACUGCUCACAUUAAUCUUCGUAUUUGGUUUCCUUGUGUAUAUUCAGUUUUGAUGUACAGAAACUACAACGAACCAUAUUCAGUUUUGAUGUUCAGGUGCCUACUAAUUUCAUGAGGCUCAUGUUCAGGUGCCUACUAAUUUCACGAGGCAGUGUAACUACCAUGUGCCUAAAUCUGACCCUGCAUAGUUUUUUUAUUGCUCAACUAAUCUAAUUUUAUUUCGUUGUUCCUUGUUUUCUAUUUUUAUUUCAAUCAGUCGCAGAUUACAGUCUUAAUUAAUGGGAUGAGGAGAAAGUGGAAGCAAUUGAUUGUUGGUACAUUCUUCUGCGAUCUGCACCGCGCUAUUCCGAAUAAGGAGAUGCGUCAAGUUUAAAGCAACAAAUGUGUGUCUAUAUAUAAAAGCAACCCAGGUUAUAAAUUAAUAAGUUAAUUUUGUUGCUAUCUGUUCCAAUGAAAUCUUGGCAAAGAUUUGCUUUCACAUACACAACCAAUCAUGAAUGUAAGCAUACCCAUCUUUAUAGCCCUACAGAAUUAUUUAUUUUCUGUUGUUGGACAAAGUUUUUUACAAAAUCAUGCUACUAUAUACCAUAUGUUUUAAUUUUCAUGUAGAUGGUAGGUAGGUGGAUUGAGUGUCUAUCUGGUUUUGGAGUACACUGUUGUUACAGCCGAGCCCUUGCCCUAGCUCUCUUUUUCUUGCUGGAGGUAGAAGAAGAAGAAAAGGUCUAGCUCUCUCUCUCUCGCUGGAGGUACAAGAAGAAGAAAAGGGGACACAGGAGGUUUUCUGGCGCACGAACGCCACAAACGCAACCACGGCGUUUUCCUUGAGCACGUACUCAACACCCCACCGUUACAACGAUCGCCAUAACGUAUUUAUACCCGGGCCAAUGCGGGGCCAUGACCCGCACGCACCUGCCCACUCCAUCGCCUGGUCCGGCCUGCUGCAUGCGCGCCCACGACGCACUCUCCGCCACUCCACCGCCUGGUCCGGCCCGCUGCAUGCGUGCCCACGACGCACUCUCCGCGCCAAGCCCUCAACAGACCAACGCGAUGACGCGUCCCCGAUCGCCAACGGCUUCUAUCUACAUGCACGCCUACGGUGUACACGCACACGGACAGCCCCGUGCACCACACGCACGCACGCACACACACCUACACGUGGACCUGACAUGCCCGACGCGCGCCCAUACACGCGCCAGACACGUCCAACCCGUCGCCGCGGCUUAUUCAGCCCAACACUCACCCCCUAAGUCGCGGCUCAGAGCAGGCCGUCGUCUUCGACGCCGACGUCCGCCAACAGCGCGCGCUCCUUCCACAGCUGGGGCACUCCCUCUUGAAGUGGCCACGCUCGUCGCACUUGUAACAGCGGCCGCGCCUAUUGCCACCGUUCCCCGACGCCACGCUCCUGCCGUCGUCAUCGUCCCGAGCACCACCGCGCCGCCGCUCCCGUGCUCGCCACUGCGCCGCCGUUUACAUGAGCUGGCCGUCCGCCCGCCUGUCCACGCCGUCGCAGCCGUUCGUCAAAGGCCUUCAGGCGACCGAGCGCGUCCUCGGACGGCAUGUGGAGGCAUCGCAAAACUGCUCGAUUCCGGCCACCGCCGUGUACAAGCGUUCCGGCAUGAAGUCGAGGAGCUUUUUCAUGAUCGCGGUGUCGUCCAGCGUCGACCCGAGUCCCACGAAGCGCGCCGCCAUGCCGCCGAGCUUGCUGGCGAACCCAUCCAGCGUGUCGGCCUCCGUCAUGCGCAGCAUCUCGAACUCACCUCGGAGAGUGCCCAGCCGCGCCGCCCGGACUCGGUCCGCGCCGACGAACCUCGCCUUCAAGCUAGCCCAUAUUUCUGCCGCCGUCUUCAGAGAGCGCGCGGAACAAGUACGCUCGCGCCGACUUGUCCUUCUUGGCGAUCACGGCCACCGCCACGUCCUCCGCCGGUUCCACCGCCUCCCAUAGCCCGAUAGCGUCCAGGUCGGCCUCCACCUUGAUCGCCCAAGUGGUGUAAUUGUCACCAGAGAGCAAUGGGACAGGCUGCGAGAACGAACUCCCCGAUCCGCCAGCGUACGGGACGAGCGCCAUCGCCGGCGAACUCCCCCGAACCUGAUGCUCUGUAUACCAAAUGUUGUUACAGCGAAGCCCUUGCCCGAGCGCCAUCGCCGGCGAACUCCCCCGAACCUGAUGCUCUGUAUACCAAAUGUUGUUACAGCGAAGCCCUUGCCCUAGCUCUCUCUCUCGCUGGAGGUGGAAGAAGAAGAAAAGGGGACACGGGAGGUUUCCUGGCGCACGAACGCCACAGCCACUACCACGGCGUUUUCCUUGAGCACGUACUCAAGACCCCACAGCUACAACAAUCGCCGCAGCGUAUUUAUACCCAGGCCAAUGCGGGGCCAUGUCCCGCACACACCUGCCCACUCCACCGUCUGGUUCGGCCCGCUGCAUGCGCGCCCACGACGCGCUCUCCACGCCAAGCCCUCAACAGACCAACGCGAUGACCGCGUCCCCGAUCGCCAACGGCUUCUCUCUACACGCACGCCUACGGUGUACACACACACGGACAACCCCAUGCACCACACGCACGCACGCACACACACACACACCUACGCACGGACCCGACGCACCCGACAUGCCCGGCGCGCGCCUAUACACGCGCCAGACACAUCCAGCUCAUCGCCGCGGCUUAUUCAGCCCAACAUACACUACUACAGGAGAUGAUGAGAUUAGAGCAGCAGGAGAUGAUGGAAUUUUCUUAAAGUUGUAGACUGAGAUGUAGAUUACUAAAUUUAUCUUAAUUGUUUACUUCAGUUUUGCAGAUUUGGAUACCGUAUAUGUUUGAUUGAAGGACUUCACUAGGGGGCAGCGCCGCAUUUUAGUCCUCCCGGCUAGCUUCCAUCCAUUCAUUGCAUGCAUGCAUGCAACAUUACACAAGUACGAUAUUACUAAAUAUUCUUUUGAUUUUACAUUUAAUUUUUUUUAUCUCCCAAACCGUCAUCUCAAUUAAUGAUCCGCUUUCACCACUCACUUUUUCGCGACGAGAUCUUCAAAACUAGAUCCCAUGUCGACAUGUUCUGAUAACUUUUGUUUUCGUUGGUACUUGCCAGAUUAUUAUCACUUAAUUGUCACAUUAUUUGUUACAUAGUUCUCACAUUAAAUCAACUUGAUUAUCAGGUUUAUGAAUGUCGAUAUACCCUACUAAAAAACUUGAUUCAUUGUACUUGUGCUCACUCAUGCAUUUACUUGCUUAUUGUUAGUGUUUUAACACCCACUUUUUAGCUUCACAUAACAUUGCAAUGCGUAAAAUGUAUAAAAGUGUUGUCCUCAUAACUAUGUCUAAUUUUUAUGACAACUAUAUACCCAUAAGAUGACAACUAUGAUGACAUAAAUAUGAUAACUAGGAACGACGAAAAAAAAUCAACGAAACAUGUUAACAUGGGAUCUUAUAUUGAAGGUCUCGCCGAGACAAACCUAACGGUGAAAGCGAAUCUCGAAUCAAAUUAUUAAUCUGUAAGAUAAAUCAUUUUUAAAAAUCAAAAAAUCAUUUAAUGUGAUGAUGUAAGCAUAAGGUGGAAGAUUUUUGCAUGCAUAUGGGGCUGUGCGAGCCGCUGCAUGGAAGAGCUGUAGUGUGGCGCUUCUCUUUAUAAUUUCUCUUGAUUGAAUCAGUGCUCAUAUCGUCCAUCUCAUUUUGAAGCAGGUAUAUGUGCAUUAGUUACAGUUUUGUUAUCGUCGAUAUGCAAAUCAAUCAGACUUCAGGUUGAGUCGUUCAUAUGAUUUUCUAUUUCACCUUUCGAUCAUAGAUUCCUUGCUUUUCUGUAUUACAAUCACAAAGUAUCAAUUGGCCCACCAAAGAAGCCAUUAUAGCUGUUACUAGGUUACAAAUAUACCAAGUUAAUAGGGAACAAUUAUUCAUAGUUGUUCAGCUACAACAUAUGCCAUGAAUUGACUUAGUGAAAUCCGUUUAUUUUGGGGUACUUAAUUAAACCAUGAUUAGUAAUGGAAGGAUAGACAUGGAUGUGUUGCCACACCAGCUUGAGGAAAAAAUUGCGGUUGGAAGAGGGGACAUCAGGGGGACUAGAAGCUACAAAGUAUGAUGCUGGAUAUGCUGGCCUGCGGCAGCGCGACUAUGCCAUGUACCAUCCACACUCGAAGGGAUCUAAAAAUGGUACGAUCCAGUCAAGCCUCUUUCACUUUCAGCCCAAGCUUCAAGUGCAAGCCAACAGUUUUUCUUAUUUACUAUCCAACUGAGUGGGAGGUGUUCUGAACUAAAAGAUUGCAGUUUCAAUCAGACUCGGUGGCCGCUGGCAUCCAUGAGGCUGCAACUAAAGGAACUAUGGCCGGUUGUUGUUGAACCUGCUGACAUCUUUGAUAUUCGUUGACAGUCCUUCCUAGGACCACUCAGCAGGCAAGUAAUUCCACAUCCUUAAAGUUAUAGCCUGACCUACUCAUAUAACUAUCUCUAAUACCCUAUCCUAAACGUUGAUGUUACAUGCAAACUUCGUAAAGCUAGAUAUUUUGUGAGUGAAGAGCUUACUGAAAUAAAUUUGGAUGGCUUAACUCGAGUUUUUAAUCAAGUUAUUUUACUAUAAAUCUUCAGUAUAGAACCAUACAACAGUUCUGAACUUUAUGUAGUUCUAAAUUUUUUGGCGAGAAAUAUGUAGUUUCUAAUUUUCAUAUGCCUGAAAUAUGUACAGUAGACAUCAUGGUUCGAGUCGACUAAUGGCAUUGCACAAGUUUGGUUGUAGCAUGUCGAUAGUCAAGAUGGUGGCAGCAUGCUGGGUCAAGCCAUCAACAUGAACGACCAAGACUGUGCACAUACACAAGGACUCUAGAUUGAUAUUUUUGAGUUGUUCGUGCGCUGGUGGUUCUGUCGACGCUUCACAUGGUUGCAUCUUACAGGUUAUGACCGUCUCGCCGAAGAUGCAACUAUCUUCCCGUUGCAUUGGUGUGGACAUGUGCCUCGUUUCAAUGCUUCCACUAGUAGAAAACAUGGCUUUGGUUUGGGCCUGGCCAGCCCAUUAGUCCUGGUUCUUCACGAACCAGGACCCGUGGGGGGCAUUAGUCCCCGUUCAUGACCCCAGGGGGCCGGCCGGGGCCUCGUGGGCAUUGGUCCCGGUUCGUCUGGACCCAUUUGUUCCGGUUCUAGGCAUGAACCGGGACCAAUGGGCCGUGCUCCUGGCCCACAUCCAUUGGUACCGGUUCGUGCCUUGAACCGGUUUAGAAGGGGGGGGGGCUUUAGCCCCGGUUUAUGCCACGAACCGGGAUAAAUAAUUUGGCUAUAUAUACCCAUCGCCGCGACAGAGCACUCUGUUUUUUCUAGCCGGCGAGGGGAGAGCAUUUGGGGUGCUCUAGCUCACCUCCUAUGCACAUGAGGUGUUCGAUGAAAUGCCCGAGCCACACUAGUUAAGCUUUCUCCUCUCGAAGCUCGACCUCGGAGCUCCAUUUUUUCCGAGAUUUGUCUAGAUUUAGCGGUCCGUCACGCCCCGUCCCCGUUUUCACCGCUGGGGCACGUCCAUGUGUAUGUCCGCAAUGUCGUCUGCAAGCUCCUCCGCAGACACUGAGGUAAGUCGAUUUGGAUUUUCGGUUGACAUUGGAUUUGGGGAUUUCUCAUCUAGGGUUUCGCGGGAUGGGCCGUAAUAUGCGCCUUUCUGGCUCGUAGGUGGAUGGCUGCGGGAUUGUGCAGUUCCAAUCCGAGUUUUUCAUUCCCAAUCCAAGUUUCUACGGCCUUGAGGAGCGCUCGAAUCACCGUUGCCUGGGUUAUGGGCUAAUUCCUGCUCGCCGUGUUUCUUGGGGUGGAGCAAGCACGGGAAGAAGGUUUUUGGGUUGUCCACUCGAUGUAAUUCCUCAAAACAUCAUUUGGUACUCUGUUUUCAUCGAUUUAUUGCAAAGUUAUGAAUUUCACCUAAUUAUGUGAACUCUGAUUUAACAGCUUCGUGAUGGGUGUGAUUGGGUUGUUUGGAUUGACCCCCCUCACACUGAGCUAGUGGGGCAAGCUUUUGAGGAGCUCCAUGGUGGCCUUGAACGUAGUUGGAUCGAAGCUAGUAGGAUGGAGAAGAAGGUUAUGGAUCUGAACAAUGAAAACAAGAAAAUGCAAUUGAAGUUGAAGAAAAGGAAUGAGCUCAUGGAAACAAUGGGUUUUCUCUUUGUUCUUGGCAUCAACAUUGUGGCUAGUUUAGUUUCUAUUUGGUCUAAGCAAGCCAAUUAAGUGGCAGUGUGUGUGUUAUGUUUCUGCUAGUGUGUUGUGCCCUAGAUGUAAUUAUAUCAUUUGUGCACUGUUGUGAACUUGAGCAAAUGUAAUGUUGUGCCCUAGAUGUAAUGGAUAUCAUAUGUUGUGUUAAAAUUGUCACCACUGCCAACUUGGAACCUUUUCAGAGUUCAUUUCAAAUGCUUUUCAAUUUCAUGGUCUUAUAGCUCAAAAUAAUCAGUAAAUGCAUGAAAAAUAACAAAUGAAGUCAGAAAGGGAAGUGCGUUUGGACGGAAGAGCAACUGCGAAUACCCGUCACGAGGCUUAUGGAGUAUAUCGAGAAAGCGCAUCAAAGGGCGUUCAUUCGAGACAGAGAGAAGGACUAGCUCACAAUGGCCCUCGGGAAUCCUGAGCACCCUGGAUGGACACGAGGCACGCCAGGCUCCGUUCCGUGGAAGGUUGGGUUUCCAGACGCACGGGGUUACAAAUGCCAGGAGAGGAGGAGGAAAGUGGAGCAUAGCCAACUGCAGGCGUUGCACGAAAGGGUACAAGGGCUAGAGGAACGAGAAGCAGAUCGCAACAAACGACCUGCCGAAGCUUCCCUUGAAGCUACCCCGCCAUCUCAGCGGAGAAACAGCGUGGCUUCCACCGAGCAGACUCAGCAGCUGGACCCUAUCUUCACGGCUCCUGCUAGCUACCCCGUGGAUGCUAUCACAGAGUUUCAACAUUGCCACCUUAUGGCGCGAUGGAUGACAUUCAAAGUAAAGGCGGCUGUUGGAGUUGUUUUACCUACUGAACCGGGCACAACCUACCACGGUCGGUCGAUUCCAGAAGGACAUGCUAGGGUGAUGGUGGAUCAAAUAACAGACGAAUUUGAGGACCUUGAGCUUGACCACCCUACGGGUGAAGGGGAGAUUCGGCUGGGUUCUUCUCUGAAGACUACAUGCCUAUGGCGAAAGGAGCUCAUCAACCUUCUGAACUGGACGCUUCCGCCUCCUCCUCCUCCNCUCCGCCUCCUCCUCCGGUGAGUGAUCACGUCACUCAGUCUCCUUCUCCUCCUCCGCCUCCUCCUUCGGCGAGUGAUCAGGGCACUCAGUCUCCUUCUCCUCCUCCGCCUCCUCCUCCGGCGAGUGAUCAGGGCACUCAGUCUCCUUCUCCGGCGCAUGGCGGCACUCCGCUUCCUUCUCCGCCUGCGUCGGUGCGCCCGAGCAGCCAACCUCCUCCUUCUCCGCCUCGUCAACAAGGCCGAAAGAGACCCGCCGCCGCUCCGGCUGCUCUGGCGCGUCGUCCUUCUACUCCGCCUCGUAAGAAAGGAAAGACAGCCACAACCGCUCCGUCUGCUCCGACGUCUAGCAGUACAGCCAGAGGCAGGCAAUACAAAUACGGUCCUUCUCUGAACACUCCAGAGAAGUUACCAUACGAGAGGAGCCAGGAGGAAAACGCGAAGAUCGUGCAAGCCGAAGUGAAAAACUUCUUUGAAGGGGUGAAAGCAAAGAAUCAUCCACCUCCGCAGGAGAAGAUAGAUCCGGUAAAAGCGAAGCGUACUCUGGCUGCCCUGAAGAAACCACCAAAGUCUCCGACGAAAGGCAACUAUGAGCGCAUUAUUACAAAGUCAUUUAUCGAAGCGAAGCGGUCGGGAAGUACUGUCAGUGAUCAAAGGUUAGCAGAACGACGAGCUGGGAAAAAAGUUGCCCAGCUCGGCGAACAAGCGAACCAAUCGUUCCCCCCGCUCAAGGUGUCUAGCGAUAUCAUCGCUAAUCAUCCGGGGAUCUUGUUGCCUGGUACCAAUCCUGCAGAUUACCUGCCCGACGAUGCACAUUUUGAUUUAUUGGAGGUGGACGAACACAAAUACGUGUACGAGAAGCCUCUCGUUAAAGAUAAAAGAUAUCUAACAACGAUGAUGCGAAGAUUCCAUGAUUGGUACAUGAAAACCUGCAAAGAGUCUGGGGGAGUAAUAUUUUGACGCUGAGAGUUAGAAAGGAGCGUGACCUCGUUGGACUUGAACUCUUGAUGGUUCCAUUUGAGGAGUUCUUCCCGUUUUUCAAUCUAAAGGCCCUCGAUAAAUUAAUGAUCACUUGCUACUGCCUGUAAGUAGUACUACUUCUGUCAUUAAGUCUCUAUAUAUAGGUCAGCUCUUUCAUUGCAUGUAUUUUUAAUUAUCCUCACUAUAUUAUAUGCAGAUUAAAGAUCGUCGAAUUGAAGAAAAGGCAAAUCGGUGAUAUUGGGUUCAUUAACACAAAUGUCGUAGAUGCAUUUAUGAUUAAAUUUCAGGCCAAAGAUACCGAGGCCAACCUGCUACAUCGUUUGUAUUGAAUCAAAACAAAGCUAUAAUACUCUUCCCUUACGAAUUCCAGUGAGUGUUACUGUCUUGUGCAAAUUCAAUUUCCCUUAUUAGUCAAGGUUAUAGUAAUGUAAUUGAUGAGUUAUGCAUGCGUGCGCAUCUUCCACUAUAUUCUCCUAGAGAUUAAGCUUGAGUAGGGACUAGUAACCGUCUUAGACUCGAGACGAAAAGAUCCCAACGAGUAUGCGGACAUGACUGAAAUUCUACAGAAGUAAGUUAAAUCGAUCAUUAUCGCACCAUAUCGGUAACUUUGUUUAUUUCCUGAUAUCAAGUAAUUGUUUUCUUUGUCUCGCAGAGUUUGGAAAAAAUUCACCUCAAAAACUCCGGGACUGCCGAAGAAGCUGCAAUUUAGACACCCGAAAGUAAGUACUAUAGUAGCAUGUUCCACGCAUCUCCUAGUGAUUCAAGCGCUAGUUUCAUCAAUACCAUUUAGCAUGCUUGCUAACUAUCAGUUUGAUUGACCUCUAUUUCUUGUAAAGUGGUUGUGGCAGGAACCAGGGAAUGAUUACUUUGGAUACUACAUUUGCGAGUCCAUCCGCCACACGACCUGUGAGCAGGGCUACUCUGACAAACAAUAUGACGUGCGUAAAUAAUAAUAUUCACAAUUUUAUUUUAUUACCAUCAUUUGUGUUCAGUUUCAUUUAUUCAUAUAUAUGUAUUGACCCCCUUCUUCAAAUUAGAUAUUUCGGAUGCGGAAUGAACUCCUACCAGCAGAUCGUAUGCGAGGAAUUCAAGAGGAAUUGGCGGCAUUCUUUCUUGACCACGUGAUCGCUAAAGACGGAGAAUACCAUGUGAACCCUAAUCAGUUGAGUUUUAAUUAGGAGAUUAUAUUGUAAGAGAUAAUUAUAUUGUAUAUAUGUAGCCAGUAGCGUCGGAUAGAUAUACGAGAACUUGUUAUUCGACCAAUCUCUCAGAGAAGGAGAGGUGGUCGAUAUCACUUCUCUCUGUAUGCAUAUGUUCAUGACGAUCUUCUGUUUCCUUCAUUUGCUUACUAGCUAGCGUGUGUAGUCCUCUCUAUACGUAUAGUAUGUAGCAUCGACCAAGCACGGAGAUAAGAGAGGACACUUCUCUCUAUUCAUUAGCUAGCUAACACAAUAUAUGAAACACCUAAAUUAACCCCCCCAAACCCCCUAACCCCCCUUUCAAAAAAACAAAAACCCCAGCACGUGAAAUGCUGAUGCGUGGAUGCCUUUUGGUCCCGGUUGGUGUCACCAACCGGGACUAAAGGUCCCCCUGCCUGGGCUCACCGCAUCGGCCACGUGGAGGCCCAUCUGUCCCGGUUCGUGUAAGAACCGGGACUAAAGGCCAAGGGCAUUAGUAACGACCUUUUAGUCCCGGUUCCGAAACCGGGACAGAAAGCCCUUACGAACCGGGACAAAAGGCCCCUUUUCUACUAGUGUUCAGAUGUCAAAUUGCAGCAGUCAUUUGCUUUUAGGGGAAAACUAGUAUAUGCUCGACUGAUUCAUCUUUCGCCUCAGGCAAACAAAAAGGUCAAAUCUUUUGAAGACUGUAAGAAAUAGUUUCAAAGUAACACUGGUCAUAAUAUAUAUGUGGCUAUUUGGUGAUUUGACUAAGAAGUAAAGUUCUACUCAACAUAUUCACGUGGUCCUUUGCAUAAUCAUGCAUACCAGGCAUGUUAAUCUACUUCAUAUUAUCUACUUCUUACAAAAUUAGUAUACACUGGGAUGGAGCCCAUAUUAGAGCCCAAAAAUAGUACCAUGCUGGCUGCACCUCAUAUAUUGCCUUUCGAAAAAAUCACACACAAGUAUAUGAUUGAUGAGGUUCCGAAUAAGGUCACAUUAAAUACUAUGUAUUAUCCCACACAAAAAACAUGUAUUUCUUGACCAUGUGAUCGCUAUAGACGGAGAAUACCAUGUGAACCCUAAUUAGUUGAAUUUUAAUUAUGAGAUUAUAUUGUAAGAGAUAAUUAUAUUGUAUAUAUGUAGCCAGUAGCGUCGGAUAGAUAUACGAGAACUCGUUGUUCGACCAAUCUCUCACAGAAGGAGAGGUGGUCGAUAUCACUUAUCUCUGUAUGCAUAUGUUCAUGACGAUCUUCUGUUUCCUUCAUUUGCUUACUAGCUAGCGUGUCUAGUCCUCUCUAUACGUAUAGCAUGUAGCAUCGACCAAGCACGGAGAUAAGAGAGGUCACUUCUCUCUAUUCAUUAGCUAGCUGACACAAUAUAUGAAACACCUAAAUUAACCCCCCAAAACCCCCUAACCCCCCCUUUCAAAAAAAAACCCCAGCACCUGAAAUGCUGACGCGUGGAUGCCUUUUGGUCCCGGUUGGUGUCACCAACCGGGACUAAAGACCCCCCCUGCCUGGGCUCGCCGCACCGGCCACAUGAAGGACCAUCUGUCCCGGUUCGUGUAAGAACCGGGACUAAAGGCCAAGGGCAUUAGUAACGACCUUUUAGUCCCGGUUCCGAAACCGGGACAGAAGGCCCUUACGAACCGGGACAAAAGGCCCUUUUUCUACUAGUGUUCGGAUGUCAAAUUGCAGUAGUGAUUUUCUUUUAGGGGAAAAUUAGUAUAUGCUCGACUGAUUCAUCUUUCGCCUCACGCAAACAAAAAGGUCAAAUCUUUUGAAGACUCUAAGAAAUAGUUUCAAAGUAACACUGGUCGUAAUAUAUAUGUGUCUAUUUGGUGAUUUGACUAAGAAGUAAAGUUCUACUCAACAUAUUCACGUGUGCCUUUGCAGAAUCAUGCAUACCAGGCAUGUUAAUCUACUUCAUAUGUUAAUCUACUUCAUAUUAUCUACUGCUUACAAAAUUAGUAUACACUGGGAUGGAGCCCAUAUUAGAGCCCAAAAAUAGUACCAUGCUGGCUGCACCUAAUAUAUUGCCUUUUGAACACAAGUAUUAUGAUUGAUCAGGUUCAGAAUAAGGUCACAUUAAAUACUAUGUAUUAUCCCACACAAAAAACAUGUAUAUCUCUCCACACCGAUUAUUGCUGACUCAAGGUCAUCCUCCUUAGAUUCGUUAGGCCGUGCUCAAGUAGGACUACACUUUUCUGGUCAUCUGAGGCUAUUUGUUUCUUUUUUUGCAGAAAUAAAUCACAUGAGAGAGAGAUAGAUAGAUAGAUAGAUAGGUAGAGAGAGAGAGAGACCUCGGGUCCCUCUGAUGUACAACCACACAACUACUUGACCUCGUUACUGGGAACUUGAUGAAUGGUGUGUUGCGGGUGGAUUUCCAUGUGCAUGAGAUGAUGAGUUAAUUAAAAUGCUAUUGGAUUUGGAUAUUUGAUCUGAGUUUGUAGGGAGACCUUUUCGCACUAACCUUCACAUGGGAGAAGUUAUGGGUACUUGACGUCGUAGUAUCAGCCGAAGCUCUUCAUACGUCUGCAAUGGAGCGGCGCGUGCCCGAGUGGCCCGGAUAAACAUCAUUCUUGUAUAAGAGGUGCCACGACUGACAUCGAUCACCCACGCAUCAUGCAGGAGCGCAAAGGGUGAUGGGCCCAUAACCCGUGCGCGCUUAGGAUUUAGACCGACAGAGGGCCUCUGUGUUGAGCCUAGGUAGGGCUGGGAUGUGUUGAUGUUCCGAGGCCUGGCAUGACCCAGGAAAGUGUGUCCGGCCAGAGUUUAUCAAGCGUGUUGGGUACUGUGGUGCGCCCGUGUAGGGAUGAAAAUUAACCAUUUGAAUAGUCGUGUCCACGAUUACAGGACGAUUUGGAGUUGUGCCCUGAUCUUAUACAACUUGAACUGUUACUUAACUGGAAUGUUUGCUCCGGCAUUGCUUCCUCACAAGGAGUCGAGGAAGAAUCUAUGGAUGUGACUUUAAUUCAUAUUGCUGCAACAAUAUGACUAUUAAUUGUGUUACUUGCUCUACUCUCGUCUAUUGCUGCAAGACCCCUGAAGAUGCCAGUCUUCGAUAGGACUAGUCCCCUCUCUUUAUUCUCGCAUUGCUGCAGUUAGUCCACGUAUAACCCCUUCCUUUGAUACUGAUGCAUACUUAGCAUAGUUUUGAUGUCAGUCUUGCGAGUACUUUGGAUGAGUACUCACCGUUGCUUUGCUCCCCCUUUUCCCCUUGAUCCGUUGCUGCGACCAUAUGAUGGAGCCGAGGAGAUGGCGUAUCCCACCGACGACGUCUACUACCACGACGGUGCCUACUACAACGUGGAGGACGCUGAAGACCAGGAGUAGUUUAGGAGGUUCCCACGCAGGAGGCCUCGCCUCGUUCGAUCGUUGUAUCUUUUGUGUGAGCCUUCUCUAAGGCAUUAUCAUGUUUCAUGUCUGUACUCAGAUAUUUGUUGCUUUCGCUGACUCGUGUGUUUUUCGAGCUUCUGUAUUCUAGUCCUCGAGGCCCCUGGCUUGUAAUACGAAGCUUGUAUGUUUUAUUUGUGUCUAGAGUUGUGUUGUGAUAUCUUCCCGUGAGUCCUUGAGCUUGGUCGUACGCAUUUGCAGGUAUGAUUAGCGUACGAUCAAAUCGAGGGCGUCACAAGUUGAUAUCAAAGCCGACUGCCUGUAGGUAGCCCCCUUUCCAACUCCUUGGAUGAAGUUGAGUCUAGUAUUUGAAAAACUUACUAACAUUGUUGUGUGGCUUACGGGCCGACAUCUCAAUCAGAUGGUAUUAGUAUCUUUUACUCCUUUUCUAUACUCUGGGUUCUACUCUCUCUUCUCUUCCGGGUUAAAGAUUUUGCUAACUCUAACAUUAGGUUCUCAUAAUCACAUCGACCCGGAGAGCUAGAUUAUCUACGGUAGUUCAUCUGAUAAUAUGUUAUACACUCUAUCACUUGACAUCCUUGAUGUUUCCUUUUCAGAUGCGUCCCGCAAGGCAGACCGUAUGCCUGACUAUGGCUGUCGAUGCGACCGGGUUCUCGGCUAUUCUGGUUGACCUCUUGACCAGGAUGGGAUAUCGCUGGUACCUCGAGUACACUGUGUAUGAGGACUUCUGCGAGUUCAACCAGUACCAGUACCAGGCUGAAGUUCACAUCUUCGAUCGGACGGACACCUCCACCCACGAGCUGCACACCUUCUGCGGUGUUGGGUUGUCGAUCGAUAUGGCCGUCCAUGAUGCGUCCUAUAUCGCUAUCACCCGCCGCCGUGGAUCGUACCCUUGCAUGGAGGAGACCGCCUUUAGAUACAUCAAGUAUGUUCCUGUUGGGGAUGAGACUAGAUCUAAUCAUACUGCCUAUGUUGCUCGCGUUCAGGAGCGCAACGAUUGGUCCCACGUUGCUGUUUGUACCUCCUACGUGAGGCAUCGCUACGACCCAUAGGUUUUGGUGCAGUACAUGGAGGCGCUGGAUCGUGCCUUCCGAGCUCAGACUGUGGAGCUGUAUGCCAUGCGUACCUGUCUUUACGACGCGUUGACACAACUGCAACCAAUAGUUGAUGCGAGGAUCCACCCUUCGUUUAUCCUUCACCCAUGCAGGACAGAGCUACCACCAGGUCUUGAGUGGCCUGCUUGUGACAGCCCGAGAUCGACGUUCCAGAAUAUUCCCCUUUUAUUCCAUUCUCGUCGUGUGGUCCGUUUGCCUGUCGCAUUCAUCAUCCCAUCAUCCGCGUUGCAUCAGCACCGUGUUGUCGCUAGUUUUCAAACCUACGUAUGUUAUUAGUUGCCGGUUCUUUCUGUUUUCGUCGCUCACCGUUUUGAGACCAACCGCACACGCACGCACCCGCGACAUGGAUAAAAUAUUGUUUUUAAAAGUGUGCAAAAAAUAUUCUCGGAUUGAGUCGAAACUUGGCGUGCGGUCUUAUUUUAAUAUAGGUAGGCCGCCUGCCCAAUUUCGUCGCAAUCAGAGUCUGUUUGAUACCCGAACGGUCGAGCGUAGUGGCACCGUCUUCGGUUUAUCAUCGGACGUUUUCGGGGUUUUAAAUAUCGUUGCCGGGUGGCCCGUUUUUCCACUCUUCCCCACCUAGACACUCUACACAGCCACCUACUCCCUCCGUCCGGUGAAGAGUGUACUUUUGGCUUUAAUUUUUUCCACAAAAGAGUGUACUUUUAUCUUUUUAAUGCACUUUAAAGUAUAAAAAAUGCUUCUCUCUCAUCACACGGUAAUCAAGACCAAUAACAUUCUAUAUACAGUUUUCUACACGCACUUAGCUCAUUCGGGGUUAGGUAAUUAAAGAGGAGAGAGAUGGUGUGUUGCACCUUUCCAAUGCAUUUUUUUACUCCACUUCAUAAUUUGUCCUAAAAUGUCUAUAUGUACACUUUUCACCGGACGGAGGGAGUAGCCCCUACCCGUGACCAGGAUCGUCCGAUUCCGAUCCUAUGGUCGAAAUUGGUGCUAAAUUCCGCAAACCCUAGCCCCUUCCUAUAAAUAGAUGCCCCUAACCUUCCCGUAAUGGAAACCCUAGCCCCUGCCUCGGGAUCUGCGCCACCCAGCCGCCACAGCUAGCCUCCUUCCUCUCUCCUCCAGCCGUAGGCCCGUGGAGCUCGGGUUGGGCCCGCCUAAGCCCAUAUCGGCUCGGAUCGCGCGGCCGCCGCCCCGUUCUGCCCCGAGCCCCGGCUCCUCCCGAUCUCCUUCCGCUCCUGGGCGCAGCCGCCCUCUCCCCGUAGGAGCCCCUCGACGCCGCGCACCUGGGCGCCGGAGCGCCGCCCUCUGGAGAACCAGUCCAGCCCCGUGCCGCACCUCUCUUCGCCUCGCCAUUCUUCUUCCUCCUUAAUGCCCAAGCCCCCCCUCUCUCUAAUGGAUGCAGGUCGCUAGAGCCCCGCCGCCGUGCCUCCAUUGCCGGAAAUGGAGACGGUCCCCCAGAUGUGCCCGUCCCGAGCACCGACCCCCCCUCGGCGGCACUACCGACGGCCUCGAGCGCGAGAUCUGCUCAGGCGCCGCCUCCUUUGCGUCGCAGGAGAACGAUGAGGCGCCUCCAGCGCUCGCCCCCACGUGGCCAGCUAGCAGUGCCUCCCAGCACCAGGCCCAGCUCCGCCGCCCCUUCGGCCCAAGGCCCAGCCGGGACGUCGGCCCGCCUCCUCCCCCGAGCCGCCCCAAGUGGCCUGGUGAGUCCGGUUAUCCCUCGCCCCCGUUGCAAUAUUGAUAUCCUGCGCCAUGCCCAUUUUUAGUCCGUUUGCACAGAUUCGGCCCGUUACUCUUUUUAGGUUUUGCGAUUUUAGUAUUUCAUAAAAAAGCUAGAUAUUAAAACGACCGUAACUUCUAAUCCGUGCGUCGGUUUGUGACAAGUUAUAUAUAGAACUUGUGUAGUUUUUCGCGUAGAACAUUAUUUUGCAACUUGCAUACAUAUUUGAAGUAGUUUGAACCACAGUUUGCCUAGAUUGGCGUGAUGUCCUAAUAGGUUAACUAUUGCGUAGAUGUUUUUGUGCGCGUCCGGUUUGUUCAAAUCCCGUAGAUAAAAUGUUCACAAUGUUCAUGACCCUUUGCCAUGUAUUUUAGAGUACUUGCUUGCAUUUUUUUGCAUGUAGGAGCUGUCAAUAGUUUGUAUGUCGUGUUUAGGACAUAUUCUCGCAUAUAUAUGUGGCGUUAAUUUUAUUUUGCAACCCCACAUAUUAUAUAUGUUUCCGGGGUAAAAAUAUCCAUAGAAUUUGUCUGUGCAUUUAGUUUUGCUUUUCGAGUAAGUUAGCGUGCAUGAUAUUUUGCCAUGUGCCCUCUUGAUUAUUUUGUGCGAUUUAUUCCGUGCGUGAUAUGCAUGAGUUGUGAACUAGAGAUAUGCCCUUGGACAUGUAGACUAGCCCCUAGUAAUUUUCGUUGCUAUAGAAAUUCAUGUUUAGGUGUUGUUUGCUUGUUGCCAACAUGCUAGAAAAAAGUGCUGAUUUGGAGAUGCUGAAAUAUUUCUAAGUCUGACAUUUAUAAUAUUUUGUUGCUGUCUUGCCAUGAAUUUUGCUAGUGAUCUACAAUUACUUUGAGGUUGGUGCAAUGGAGUUAAUUGUAUUCCUUAAGAUUCUCUAGCAUGCUAUAAAAUUUCAUGCCAUUCGAUGCCCCGUAGCAUAUAGUUUUGCUGCUGUCAAAUGCCUUCUUGUUGGAAACUACUUUGUCAAAACUGUUAUUUUCACUAAGUAUGAAACUGUGUGUGAGAUUCCAUUUUGUGAGUUCUUUUCCUAGUGAUCCAUGCUGCCAUGCUAGAUGUUAUUAGUAGGAUGUUGUAGUGCAUCUUGACCACUACUGCCUCAUGUCUUGUUUGGGAAUUUUCGAAUUAUGUAGCUUGUUGUUUUGGGGUGUAGAAAAUGUCAUGCUGUUUUUGGACAGUUUGUAGUCAUUUCUUGUUUAGCUUGUAUUUGUGGAACCGUUGCUCCGUUUAGAAUGUGCUAUAUAUGAAACUUGCUUGGAAUCUCGUGUAAGUUCAUAUUAUGUUGCUGCCUUCUUGGUUAGGAAUGCUUGUGAUUAUCAUUGCAUACAUAUUGCAUACAUGGCAUCAUAUCUUGCGGUGAUCAUAUCUUUUGAACCGUAGCUCUAUUUGCAAUGAUCUUUAUGUGUAAAUUGAUUGGAACGACGCGUAGAAUCACGCGGACCACUUUAUUUUGCUGUUUAACAAAUAUUAAAACGUGUUAGUUUAGAUCUAGACAGAAUUAUAAAUUAACGUAUGGGGUCAGUUCGGAGAUGCUAUAAGUCGUUUCCGACCUCAUUUAAAAUGCCUAGAUAGGUAGCUUAAUUACGCUUCACCUCUUGCCAUGUUUAACCAACAUUUAAUAUGCCUGUGAAAAUAAACGGGAGCGAACUAAAUAAUUAAAUGUAGAGUUUCGUCAAUAUGCAAGUCGUUGCACAUUGAACUUCACUUAAUGUGUAGUGUUUGAAUGUGUGAAUUGCCAUGUCAUUUCGUGCAUAAUUGAUACCGUUCAUGCAUCAUAUGUGUUGUGCAUCAUGUGGUGAAUAUCGUGUGUUGAUUCUUGUUUCCGGUUUGCUUCGUCUCGAUAGAGUUCCACAAGCGUAUCGGAAUGUGAGGACCCGUUCGUCUACAUCGGUUCGUCUGCUUCACGGAGUCAUUCUUGUUGCAAGCAGGAUCUCAGGCAAGAUGAUCAUUUCCCUAGAUACCAUUACUAUCAUUCUCAUGCUAGUGUUUCAUAUCUAUCGUUAUGUCGCGCUGCCUACCACCUAUUAAAUAUCAGCCUCUCAACAUUGCCAUGAAACCUUCAACCUUCUACAACCUAGCAAACCACUGAUUGGCUAUGUUACCGCUUGUUUAACCAUGUGUUAGCGUUGCUAGUUACAGGUGCAGUUGGUUCCAUGUGAUAACAUGGGUUCCUUGUUAUAUCAGCAUAUUAAUGCUAUUUAAAUUAAUGCACCUAUAUACUUGGUAACAGGUGGAAGGUUGUGCCUUUCUAUCCACGUGUUUUGUUCCACCUUUGUCGCCUUAGUUUCGGCUACCAGUGUUAUAUUCCAAAAAUGAGCGCUCCUAACACGAUCAGGGUUGUUAUGGGGACCCCUUGAUAUUCAUCUUAGAUUAAAACUGGUCUCACAAGGCCCAACUUUGGUUCUACAUUUUCCUAAUAACUAAUAAAUAGCAUAGGGACCCGCUGGCACCUGCGGAUAAUUAAUCAACCCCCGAUUCAGUGCUCUGCAUGAGUGUUGGUCCACCCACCUAGCAGUCGGCGGUGCCACCUCGGGGCAACUGGAGCGUUUGGCUAUCGUCCACUAUGCAUAGACGGUUGUGUCAUGAGAACAAGAUACACGAGUCCUAUCGGGUUCGUCGACAUACCGGGUGGCCUUACUAGAUUAGUUUUACCUUUGACGAAUGUCUUGUGCAUUGGGAUUCCGGUGAUGCUUUGGGUAAUCUCAGAGUUGAGGUUUUUCACUAAGGAGUCCGACGAGAUGGCGAGUCUCGUGAUCGAGGAUUUCUAUGCGGCUUGUGGUAAUUUGUGUUGCACUAGUUUGAGCACCCCUGCAGGGUUAAAUAUUUUGGAAAGCCGUGCCCGAGGUUAUGUGGCAACGUGGAAACUUUGUGUAACAUCCGCUUCUAGAUAACUUGAAGUAAGCUUAAUUAAAAUAUGCCAACUGAGUGCGUAACUGUGAUUGUCUCUUUUGUGAGAUCCUUCUCUGAUCGAGGACACGGUGGCGUUAUGUCUGACGUAAGUAGGUGUUCAGGAUCAUUCAUUUGAUCAUCAGUACUUCACGUCCGCUAUGCGUAGAUCAUCCCCCUCUUUAUUCUUGUACUCGUAAGUUAGCCACCGUGCGCCAGGCCUAGCUCCGCCGCCCCUUCGACCCAAGGCCCAGCCAGGACAUCGUCCUGCCUCCUCCCCCGAGCCGGGCCAAGUGGCAUGGUGAGUCCGGUUAUCCCUCGCCCCCGUUACAAUAUUGAUAUCCCACGCCAUGCCUAGUUUUAGCCCGUUUGCACAGAUUCGGCCUGUUAGUUUUUUUAGGUUUUGCGAUUUUAGUAUUUCAGAAAAAGCCAGAUAUUAAAACGAUCGUAACUUUUAAUCCGUGCGUCAGUUUGUGACAAGUUAUAUAUGGAACUCGUGUAGUUUUUUGCGUAGAACAUUAUUUUGCAACUUGCAUGCAUAUUUGAAUUAAUUUGAAUCGCCAUUUGCCUAGAUUUGCGUGUUGUCCUAAUAGGUUUACUCUUGCGUAGAUGUUUUUGUGCGCGUAUGGUUUGUUCAAAUCCCGUAGAUAAAACGUUCACGAUGUUCGUAACCUUUUUCCAUGUAUUUUAGAGUACUUGCUUGCAUUUGUUGCAAGUAGGAGCCGUCAAUAUUUUGCUAUGUCGUGUUUAGGACAUAUUGUCGCAUAUAUGUGUGGCGUUAGUUUUAUUUUGCAACCCCACAUAUUAUAUAUGUUUUCGGGGUAGAAAAUCUAUAUAAUUUAACCGUGCAUUUAGUUUUGCUUUUCGAGUAAGUUAGCGUGCAUGAUAUUUUGCCAUGUGCCCUCUUGUUUAUUUUUGUGGGAUUUAUUCCGUGCGUGAUAUGCAUGAGUUGUGAACUAGAGAUAUGCUCUUGGACAUGUAGACUAGCCCCUAGUAAUUUUGGUUGCUAUGGAAAUCCUUGUUUAGGUGUUGUUUGCUUGUUGCCAACAUGCUAGAAAAUAGUGCUGAUUUGGAGAUGCUAAAAUAUUUCCAAGUCUGACAUUUGUAAUAUUUUGUUGCUGUCUUGCCAUGAGUUUUGCUAGUGAUCUACAACUGCUUUGAGGUUGGUGCAAUGGAGUUAAUUGUAUUCCUUAAGAUUCUCUAGCAUGCUGUAAAAUUUCAUGCCAUUCGGUGCCCCGUAGCAUAUAGUUUUGCUACUGUCAAAUGCCUUAUGGUUGGAAACUGCUGUGUCAAAACUGUUAUUUUCACUAAGUCUGAAAUUGUGUGUGAGAUGCCAUUUUGUGAGUUCUUUUCCUAGUGAUCCAUGCUGCCAUGCUAGAUGUCAUUAGUAGGAUGUCGUAGUGCUUCUUGACCACCACUGCCUCACGUCUUGUUUGAGCAUUUUAGAAUUAUGUAGCUUGCGUGUAGUAAAUGCCAUGUUGCUGUUUUUGGACAGUCUGUAGUCAUUUCUAGUUUAGAAGGUAUUUGCUGAACCGUUGCUCCAUGCUUGGAAUCUCGUAUAGGUUCAUAUUAUGUUGCUGCCUUCUUGGUUAGGAAUGCUUGUGACUAUCAUUGCAUACAUAUUGCAUACAUGGCAUCAUAUCUUGCGGUGAUCAUAUCUUUUGAAUCGUAGCUCCGUUUGCAAUGAUCUCUAUGUGUAAAUUUAUUGGAACGACGUGUAGAAUCAUGUGAACCACUUUAUUUUGCUGUUCAAAAAAUAUUAAAAUGUGUUAGUUCAAAUUUGGACAGAAUUAUAAAUUAACGUAUGGGUCAGUUCGGAGAUGCUAUAAGUCGUUUCCGACCUCAUUUAAAAUGCCUAGAUAGGUAUCUUAAUUACGCUUCACCUCUUGCCAUGUUUAACCAACAUUUAAUAUGGUCGUGAAAAUUAACGGGAGUGAACUAAAUAAUUAAAUGUGGAGUUUCGUUAAUAUGCAACUCGUUGCACAUUGAACUUCACUUAAUGUGUAGUGUUUGAUUGUGUGAAUUGCCAUGUCAUUUCGUGCAUAAUUGAUACCGNCAUCCUCUCAACAUUGCCCUGAAACCUUCAACCUUCUACAACCUAGCAAACCACUUAUUGGCUAUGUUACCGCUUGCUUAACCAUGUGUUAGCAUUGCUAGUUAUGGGUGCAGUUGCUUCCAUGUGAUAACAUGGGUUCCUUGUUAUAUCACCAUAUUAAUGCUAUUUAAAUUAAUGCACCUAUAUACUUGGUAAAAGGUGGAAGGCUCGGCCUUUCUUGCCUGGUGUUUUGUUCCACCUUUGCCGCCUUACUUUCGGCCACCGGUGUUAUAUUCCAUAAUUGAGCGCUCCUAACACGAUCGGGGUUGUUAUGGGGACCCCGUUGAUAUUCGUCUUAGAUUAGAAUUGGUCUGGCAAGGCCCAACUUUGGUUCUACAUUGCCUAAUAACUAAUAAAUAGCAUAGGGACCUGCCGGCACCCGCAGAUAAUUAAUCAACCCCCGGGUCAGUGCUCCGCAUGAGUGUUGGUCCACCCACUUAGCAGUCGGCGAUGCCACCUCGGGGUAACUCGAGUGUUUGGCUAUCCUCCACUAUGCAUAGACGAUUGUUUCUUGAGAACGAGAUACGCGGCUCCUAUCGGGUUCGUGGAUACACCGGGUGGCCUUACUAGAUUAGUUUUACCUAUGACGAAUGUCUUGUGCAUCGGGAUUCCGGUGAUGCUUUGGGUAAUCUCAGAGUUGAGGUUUUCCACUAAGGAGUCCGACGAGAUCGUGAGUUUCGUGAUCGAGGAUUUCUAUGCGGCUUGUGGUAAUUUGUGAUGGACUAGUUGGAGCACCCCUGCAGGAGUAAAUAUUUCAGAAAGCCGUGCCCACGGACAUGUGGCAACGUAGAAACUUUGUUUAACAUCCGGUUCUAGAUAACUUGAAGUAAGCUUUAUUAAAAUAUGCCAACUGAGUGCGUAACCAUGAUUGUCUCUUUCGUGAGCUCCUGCUCCAAUCGAGGACACGGUGGCGUUAUGUCUGACGUAAGUAGGUGUUCAGGAUCAUUCAUUUGAUCAUCAGUACUUCACGUCCUCUAUGGGUAGAUCAUCCCCCUCUUUAUUCUUGUACUCGUAAGUUAGCCACUAAAUGAAUGCUUAGUUGCUUGCUGCAGCCUCACCAUUUAACCAUACCUCACCUAUUAAGCUUUGCUAGUCUUGAUACCUUUGGAAAUAAGAUUGCUGAGUCCCCUGUGGCUCACAUAUUACUACAACAUCAGUUGCAGGUACAGGUAAAGUGAUAUUAAGACGGGAGCAUGAUGAUUGUUCAUUUGGAGUUUCUUUUUCUUCUUCGUCGAUCUAGGAUGGGUUCCAGGCCAGCAGCUUGCGUUAGCAAGGAUGGACGUCGUUCUUUUAUCGUUUGUUUUCGUUCGUAGACGGACACUGCUCUUCUACAUGAUGAUUGUAUGUAUUUUACUGCUGUGACUCUAAUGUGGCUUGUGGAGAGUGUAAGCCAAUUCCAUAUACUCAUCUCUUCAAUACAUGUACUUGUAAUGAUAUCCAUUAUUGCGAAACGACGAGAUGCGCUUCUAUCCCUGUCGAGGCCCUCGUGCCAAAAUAAGGAUAUGAUCGCAUCUUGGGCGUUACAAGUUGGUAUCACAGCAGUACCGACCUAGGAGCCCCCUUGAUUGAUUGAACUUGGCCGAGUCGAGUCUAGUGAAAAACUGCUUUGAGUUUAGUUAUAUAUCGGAGAGUAGGAUUCUUUUUUCUCUUCUUCUAUGCUCUGGUGAGGAAUCUUGACGUAAGAAUUUUAAUUCUACUCCUCUUCUCACUCAAAUUAUUUUUAGGAUCACGCGGAUAGUUUUGGAAUCUAUAUGAUGUCGAUUUGACGGAGUUCUGUCUUGGUGCCUCCUGUCUGACCUGAUUUCUUUCGGGGAGUUGUGCUCCAAGGGAUACUUGAGCACAUCGUUAUCAUUCAGAUUUCUUAGUAUCUCAAGACGAAGUAUGUUCGAAAUUGCUUCAAUACUAGUAGAGGCGAGAGGAGUCCGGCUUCCCCAGUACUGGUGCAGAUAGAUCCGGAUAUAUCGCCACACUUAGUAUUGUUUCGAUUACGAGGAUCUAAGAUAGAUGAGUUUCUGAGAUCUCUGGUUAUGUGUUGAUGGAUGUGAUACACUGGACGGGUUAGAAUAGGAGUUGAGUGAUGAAAUUCUCCUUGUAUCCGUGGACCAGAUUGCAUGACCAGAAAUUUCGGAAGUUAUUAGGGGGGAAUUCAAGUAGCUAUUUAUAGGAAAAUCUUCCAACAAAUGCAUGAUGUGAGGUUGAGGUUCGACAUCUAGUGGAUUCGUUUGUUCACGAUCGUCUUACAGCGGUUCUCGUUGUGUCUUAAAGAGCCCUUGUAGCUUGCUAUGACUCGGGGACACUUCGUAUGUCGUGUGUACUGCCUUGUACAUGAUGGCUACUAUUGGAUCGAGCCCGUGCAAUUAUAUCCACGAAAAUAUCGAAUAAAAUCUCUGUCAUAAAUUUCUUCUACUUGUUUCAUAAGCCGCACCCUUUGUCUUGUUGGAAGAUGGUAAUUCUAGUUGCUUCGAUAUCAAGUGGUGAUUUCAUAUCUUUCCUAAGAGGUGUUCCCAUAUUUUUUGGGAAUGCAAACUCUUUUUCUCAAUCAAGUUGAUUUUUCAAUUCUAUUUCAGCAGGUGUGCUUCUCUUCAAGUGAAUUCAAUCCUCUCCAAUUUUGCAAGAUAAUUCUCUCAUUUCUUCCGGAGUUCAUCUCAUCUGUCCCAAGUUGUCUUUGUUUUCCCCGCGCUCCCACCCUUUUCUUUAGUGAUUCAAUUCUCAUCCAAGUUCAUUUCAUUUCAUUCUUGCUUCUGCUAUCUUUUCUUUUCUCUCUUAUCUGGUGAUUCCUUUGUUGGAGAUUCUCAUUCAAUAUUUUCUUAUUCAUUCAUCCCUCCCUGUUCUAUCCGGAGCAUUUAAGAUAUCUCAAAAGUUUCUUGUUUUCAAUUCUUUAAUUAUUUCGAGGUGCUUAACCUCAUCAAGUUUUCUUUGUACCAGUGCAAUCUCUCUAUUUCUGAGCAAUCUUUUUGUGACACCCUCGAAUUAAUCGUACGCUAAUCAUACACGCAAAUGCGUACGAUCAAACCCAAGGACUCACGGGAAGAUAUCACAACACAACUCUAGACACAAAUAAAAUAAGACAAGCUUCAUAUUACAAGCUAGUGGCCUCGAGGGCUAGAAUACAGAAGCUCGAUAAAAAAACACGAGUCAGCGGAAGCAACAAUAUCUGAGUACAUACAUAAACCAUGGGAUGCCUUAGAGAAGGCUAGCACAAAAGAUACAACUAUCGAACGAGGCGAGGCCUCCUGCCUGGGAACCUCCUAACUACUCCUAUUCUUCAGCGGCCUCCAUGAAGAAGUCACCAAUGGGGUGGCAGGCGUCGGCAGGAAACUCCAUCUCCUGGGCUCCAUCGUCUAGAUGCAGCAACGGAUCAAAGGGACAAAGGGGGAGGUAAGCAACGGUGAGUACUCAUCCAAAGUACUCGCAAGACUUACAUCAGGACUAUGCUAAGUAUGCAUCAGCAUCAAAGAAGGGAGUUGGUUAUAUGUGGACUGACGACAGCAAUGCGAGAAUAGAGAGAGAAGGCCUAGUCCUAUCAAAGACUAGCAUAUUCAGGGUCUUGCAGCAAUAGACGAGAAUAGAGCAAGGGAACACAAAUAAUAGUCAUAUUGUUGCAGCAAUAUUAAAGUGAGGUCACGCCCAGAGAUCCUCCCUCGACUCCCUAUGAGGAAGCAAUCCCGAGGCAACUAAUUCCAGUUAAGUAACAAUUGUAGUUGUAUAAGAUUAGGGCGCAACUCGAAGUCGUCCUGUAACUGUGGACACGACUAUUCGAAUAGUUAAUUUUCAUCCCUGCAGGGGUGCACCACAUGUCCCAACGCGCUCGAUAAAACUCUGGCCGGACACACUUUUCUGGGUCCUGCCCGGCCUCGGAAUAUCGACACGUCGCACCCCCACCUAAGCUCAGCAGAGAGGACAACCCGCCGGUCUAAAUCCUAAGCGCAAAGGGUUGAUGGGCCCAGUUUCCCUCCGCGCUCCUGCACGAUGCAAGGGCGGCAGACGUCAGUCCUAGCACCCCUUAAUCACAAGCGUGAUGCAUCUCGGGACCACUCGGGCGUGCGCCGCUACAUCGCUGACGUCUGAAGAGCUUCGGCUGAUACCGCGACGUCGAGUACCCAUAAUUCUUCCCACACAGAUGGUUAGUGCGAAAAGGUCUCCGACCAACCCAGAUCAAAUACCCAAAUCCAUUAUCAUUUUAAUUAGGCCAUCGACACAGUCUCGCGGGAAUCCACCCGUCUAAACAACUAAUCACCAAUUAUCCCAGUAACAUGGUCGAGUAACUAUGUGGUUGUAACAUCGGGGGGAAUCCGAGGUAUCACCCUCGUUGGAUUCCGAACGAUGUAUCCAUCAAGGUGGGCUUAGAGGAAUCACCCUCGGGGGUCCCACACUUGAGGGGUUGCACGACAGAGGCAUCAUCGGGAAUGGUGAAAGAGGAAUCACCCUCAAUAACCACGACCGACUAGCUGUACUACAGAGAUAUUAUCAGGAGUACUUAGCGAGGUGUCACCCUCAGUACCCGAUAGUAUCUCUGUAGAGUCGUACAACUAAGGGGGUGUAUGUGUUGUGUUGGGUCUGGCUCGUCGACCAUGGAUCGAGAUUUGAAAAACAAGCAGGGCAACUCGACAACGGGGUCAGAGGGGAUGACUGCUCCACCUAUACUAAGCAGAUUAAAGGUACAAAAUUGAAAGUAGCAGUUCAUCAAAAAUAGCCUAUGCAUCAGAUAUAGGAGCUAACUUCAACAGUAGCAAAAUACUAAUGCAAGGAGUAGGAAGAAAGACAUAGGCGAUAUAGGAAUGAUCAAGGGGGGUUUGCUUGCCUUGCUGCUUCGCGGCAAAGGACUGAUCGACAGGGUCGUAGAUGUACACGGCAGCAGCGUCAGUCUCGGGGUCUACCGGUAAGAAGAGGGGGAAGAAACAAUAAAUAAUAGCAACGGUGCAACACAAUGCAUGACAUGGCAAGAUGCAGGCUAGACCUGAGCUAACGCAGCAACAUCCGUCAUAGACGGCUCGGAAGAAUAUCUGACGAUAUUUUCCGGGUCUCGGGCUACUAGUGGUCAGAGUGGAAACGAUGGAAAUGUUCCACAUUUGCUAUGCUAGAGACGCGUGACAAACGAAUGUACCGUGUAUCCGGGUUCGACUCGUUCUGCUGAUCAACUUUCAUGUUGAAAAUAAUUUGAUCUGACUUACGGAUUAUUUUUUAUUAAUUUUUAAAGUUUUAUUAAAUAUUUAGAAAUUAAAAACAUAUUUAAUAAAAAAGCAUGAUGUCACGCUGACAUCAACAGUUGACUCGUCAACUGACGAGUGGGUCCCGUGCGUCAUAGACACAAGUUUUAAUUAAGAUUAAAUAGUAAUUAAACACAUUAAUUUAGUGGGGGACGCACAUGUCAUACUCUGAUUAUUCUAAUUACCUAUUUAAUUAAUUAACUAAUUAAUUAAUAUAUCUAUUUAUUUAUUUAAUAAAAACUUAUUUUUAUUUUUAUAUUUUAAUUUUCACUUUUCUCAAAAGCGGGUGUGGGGCCUCCUUGUCAUAGACAACGGGGUGACUUGGCCCCACCGGUAAGUGGCUUAGGCCACAUACGCACAAAACAACCAUAAACAUAUUUAUACAAUCAACGUAUUUCUCCACAUACCUACAUACAUAAAUACAUACAUACGUGCAUCUCAUACAUACAAAAUACGUACGACAUCUAAUACAUACAUACAUACGUCUUUUUAUUUAUUUUUCUUUUUCUCAUCUCAUCUCCUAACUCUCUUUGUUAACAACAGAGAGAGAUACAUCUCCCUCUACCCUACUCGAUCCUAACGACGUCGGAACGAAGUGCCGUUUGCCGGAAUGGAACCAGGACGACGCGAGGAAGGAGACGGUGGGAGGAGCCCGAACAGGGGCUCACCGACAUUGACGAGAGGGCCCGGUGAAGCCGGAAUUCUCGGGAGGCAGAGGAGACGGAGAGGAGGAGGACGAGGCGGUGACGGUGGUGGCGCAUUUCCGAUGAGGAUGGUGCCGGCGAGGGUCGCCGGAGGCCACGGCCGGCGGAGAUGAGGCACGGCCGCCGGAUCCGGUCCGGAGGAGGGUCGGCGCCCGGAUGGGGCUGCCGGGGGAGCUCCCGCCGGCGCGGGGGGGUGCUCGGUCGGGGAGGUGCGGGGGGAGGGCCCGGCGAAAUGGGGGUCCAGGGGCGUGCGGUGGGGCGGUGCUGGGUGGGGUCCACCGGCAGGAGGGAGCGACGGGGAUGCCUCAGCCGGAUCGAGGUGGGAGGCUCAAUGGGGUUCCUGGGGCUGGUCGGUGGGAUGUGGUAGGUGGAGGAAGGCUCGAGAGGGAGAGGGUCUUGGUAGGGAGGGGUUCUCGUGCGUGGGGGGGGGUGGAUGGGUGGUAGGUGGGGGUGUACCGAGAGGGGAGGAGGUCCUCAUGGUGGGUGGGGAGAGUGAGGCCAGGGCGAGCAGGGGCUCGGUCUCGGGUGGGAGGCGACGGGGCAGGUGGGAUGGUGCGGGAGGGUUGGUGGGAGGGCGGUUAGUGAGUGCGAUAGCGGGGGAAGGUGGUGGCGGCCUCGUGGGGAGAGGGGUCGGGCGACUAGGGUUUCCUGGGGGUUGGGAGCGCUGGUUAGGGGGGGGGGGCNNNNNNNNNNNNNNNNNNNNNNNNNNNNNNNNNNNNNNNNNNNNNNNNNNNNNNNNNNNNNNNNNNNNNNNNNNNNNNNNNNNNNNNNNNNNNNNNNNNNNNNNNNNNNNNNNNNNNNNNNNNNNNNNNNNNNNNNNNNNNNNNNNNNNNNNNNNNNNNNNNNNNNNNNNNNNNNNNNNNNNNNNNNNNNNNNNNNNNNNNNNNNNNNNNNNNNNNNNNNNNNNNNNNNNNNNNNNNNNNNNNNNNNNNNNNNNNNNNNNNNNNNNNNNNNNNNNNNNNNNNNNNNNNNNNNNNNNNNNNNNNNNNNNNNNNNNNNNNNNNNNNNGGCUGGGGGGGGGCUGGCCGGCUGGGCCAACUUGGCCCAGUUGGGCCGGGGGGUUUAGUCUUUUUUUUAAUGUCUUUCUUUUAAUUUUAUUCUUUUUUUACACAUAUUGCUCCUGUUUUAAUUAUAUAGGGAUUGUAGUAACUUCAACAUGCCCGAUUGACUUUUAUAACUUAUUUAGGAAAGUUUUAAUAACUUUUCCGACAAUUUUUAUUUCAAACAUUAUAAAACUUUUCCCGUUUCAUUUAUUUUCAAACUUCGAACUUUGACUCGGUUUCGACUAUCACGAGAUCAAUAAUAGAAUCAUAGUGACAUGGCAUCCUUUGCAUAGGUUUACUCUAGUUCAAGUAUCGAGAUUACUGUAGUCUAAUCCGGGGAUGUCACACUUUUCAACGAUGUGUUCUUCUGAGUGGGCCUAUAACCCACAUGAUCUUUCCUAGGAUCUUUCCUUGCUCUUCUAAUCUUUUCUCGGAGAUUUCUAAUCCUUUUCAAUUAUGACAUAAGUAUGCAUUCCAUCAGUCAUAUUCCUUCUCCAAGAUUGCUUCAAAUUAAUUCUCAUCUUUGGCUCAAGGUUUCAAUCUUCAUUAUUCCGGAGUGUUUCCGUUAUUCUUGGUGGUGUCCCUUCUCAUCAUUCUCGGCUUGGAAGACGAAGGAGUGUUUCUCUCAAAUCUUGGUCCAUUCUCUUGAAGAUUCAUCAUUUAACCUUUGUGUUAUCAUCUUGAAUUGUUUCCAAUCAUGAGUAAUUCCUUCCAUAUCUAUCUGGUGCAUUUUAGAUUUGUUUUUAUUCUUGAUCCUCCGAAGGACAUCAUUUCAGAAGAUUUAUUCGUUCUCAGUUUUCAACUUUCGUUCUCAAAUUCUUCUGAAUUGUUGUCUCUUCGUUCUCUCAAUUAUUUCGGUGCCUUGUUCAGUUUUCUAUUAGGCGGCUCAAGAUCUCUUCAUUCUCAAGGUGUUCUUCAAGAUUGUUGUGGUAGUAGUUCUCAUUUUCUUCUUCGUUCCUUCUUGCCUAGAGCUAGUUUCUAUUCUUUCUAACAGAGGCUUUGUGAUGUUGCUCUCUUCAACCUACCAUUUUGUCUUUUGUAGAUCAUAUUGUUCCCUUGUUCAAUUUAGUUAGUUUGUUGUGGAUCUUUAAGAUCUUUCCAUUUUAUCAAAUUUUGUCCCCUUUUCCUACCGAAUUGGUGUGGAAAUUUUGAUUGAAUUCUUGCUUGUUUCUCAUAUCAUUCUCAUCUCUUUGCAACCUCCAAGAGUCAUUGGUUUUGCUCGUUUGUCAAAAAAGUAACUAAGUUUUACCUCUUCCUCGUUCUAAUCUUCCCCCCCUUUCAUUCUUGGAUCUUGGGUCGAGAUCCUCUUGUAGUGUAGGAGAGUUGUGACAGCCCGAGACCGACAUUCCAAAAGAUUCCCCUUUUAUUCCGUUCUUGUUGUGUGGUUCGUUUGUCUGUCGCAUUCAUCAUCGCAUCAUCCACAUUGCAUCGGCACCGCGUUGCCGCCAGUUUUGAAACAUGCGUCCGUUAUUAGUUGCCGGUUCUUUCCGUUUUCGUCACCGACCGUUUUGAUAUAGAUAAAAUGUUGUUUUAAUAUAGGUAGAUAUCAAAACGUUGAUAAAAUGUUGUUUUUAAAAGUGUCAGAAAAAUAUUCUCGGAUUGAGUCGAAACUUGGCGUGCAGUCUUAUUUUAAUAUAGGUAGGCCGCCUGCUAAAUUGAGUCGCAAUCGGAGUCCGUUUGAUACCCGAACGGUCAACCAUAGCGGCACCGUCUUCGGUUUAUUGUCGCACGUUUUUGAGGUUUUAAAUAUCGUUGUUGGGUCGCCCGUUUUCCCUCUCUUCCCCACCUAGCCACUCUACACAGCGACCUAGCCCCUACCCUCAACCAGGAUCGUUCGAUUUCCAUCCUACGGUCGAAAUUGGUGCGGGAUUCCGCAAACCCUAGCCCCUUCCUAUAAAUAGAUGCCCCUAACCUGCCCCUAACAGAAACCGUAGCCCCUACCUCGGGAUCCAUGCCACCCAACCGCCACAACCACCCUCCUUCCUCUCUCCUCCAGCCACCGGCCCGCGGAGCCCGGGUUGGGACCGCCUGAGCCCAUCUCGGCCCAGAUCGCGCCGGCCCAGAUCCGCCCGUCCCGAGCACCGACCCCCCCUCGGCGGCCACUACCGGCGGCCUCGAGCGCGAGAUCUGCUCCGCCGCCACCUCCUCUGUGCGGGAGGAGCACAAUGAGGCGCCUCCAGCGCUCGCCCCCACCCAGCUCCGCCGCCCUUUGGCCCAAGGCCCAGCCGGGACGUCGGCGUGCCUCCUCCCCCGAGCCGGCCCAAGUGGCCCAGUGAGUCCGGUUAUCCCUCUCCCCCGUUGCAAAAUUGAUAUCCCGAGCCAUGCCCAGUUUUAGCCCGUUUGCACAGAUUCCGCCUCUUAGUUUUUUUAGGUUUUGCAAUUUAGUAUUUCAGAAAAAGCUAGAUAUUAAAACGACCGUAGCUUUUAAUCCGUGUGUCGGUUUGCGACAAGUUAUAUAUGGAACUGGUGUAGUUUUUCUCGUAGAACAUUAUUUUGCAACUUGCAUGCAUAUUUGAAGUAGUUUGAACCACCAUUUGCUUAGAUUUGCAUGCUGUCCUAAUAGGUUAACUGUUGCGUAGAUGUUUUUGUGCGCGUCCGGUUUGUUCAAAUCCUGUAGAUAAAUUUUUCACAAUGUUCGUGACCCUUUGCCAUGUAUUUUAGAGUACUUACUUGCAUUUUUUUGCAUGUAGGAGCUGUCAAUAGUUUACUAUGUCGUGUUUAGGACAUAUUCUCGCAUAUAUGUGUGGCGUUAGUUUUAUUUUGCAAUCCCACAUAUUAUAUAUGUUUUCGGGGUAGAAAAAUCCAUAGAAUUUAACUGUCCAUUUAGUUUUGCCUUUCGAGUAAGUUAGCAUGCAUGAUAUUUUGCCAUGUGCCCUCUUGUUUAUUUUGUGGGAUUUAUUCCGUGCAUGAUAUGCAUGAGUUGUGAACUAGAGAUAUGCUCUUGGACAUGUAGACUAGCCCCUGGUAAUUUUGGUUGCUAUAGAAAUCCACGUUUAGGUGUUGUUUGCUUGUUGCCAAAAUGCUAGAAAAUAGUGCUGAUUUGGAGAUGCCGAAAUAUUUCCAAGUCUGACAUUUGUAAUAUUUUGUUGUUGUCUUGCCAUGAGUUUUUCUAGUGAUCUACAACUCCUUUGAGGUUGGUGCAAUGGAGUUAAUUGUAUUCCUUAAGAUUCUCUAGCAUGCUGUAAAAUUUCAUGCCAUGCGGUGCCCCGUAGCAUAAAGUUUUGCUGUUGUCAAAUGCCUUUUGGUUGGAAACUGCUCUGUCAAAGCUGUUAUUUUCACUAAGUGUGAAACUAUGUGUGAGAUUCCAUUUUGCGAUUUCUUUUCCUAGUGAUCCAUGCUUCCAUGCUAUAAGUUAUUACUAGGAUGUUGUAGUGCAUCUUGACCACUACUGCCUGAUGUCUUGUUUCAGCAUUUUAGAAUUAUGUAGCUUGUUGUUUUGGGGUGUAGAAAAUGCCAUGUUGCUGUUUUUGGACAGUUUGUAGAAACCUUCUUGGGAUCUCGUCUAGGUUCAUAUUAUGUUGCUGCCUUCUUGGUUAGGAAUGCUUGUGACUAUCAUUGUAUACAUAUUGCAUACAUGGCAUCAAUCUUGCGGUGAUCAUAUCUUUUGAACCGUAGCUCCGUUUGCAAUGAUCUCUGUGUGUAAAUUGAUUGGAACGAUGCGUAGAAUCACGUGAACCACUUUAUUUUGCUGUUUAAAAAAUAGUAAAACGUGUUAGUUCAGAUCUGGAAAGAAUUAUAAAUUAACGUAUGGGGUCAGUUCGAAGAUGGUAUAAGUCGUUUCCGACAUCAUUUAAAAUGCCUAGAUAGGUAGCUUAAUUACGCUUCACCUCUUGCCAUGUUUAACCAACAUUUAAUAUGGCCGUCAAAAUAAAUGGGAGUGAACUAAAUAAUUAAAUGUGGAGUUUCAUCAAUAUGCAACUCGUUGCACAUUGAACUUCACUUAAUAUGUAGUGUUUGAUUGUGUGAAUUGCCAUGUCAUUCCGUGCAUAAUUGAUACCGNCCUCUCAACAUUGCCAUGAAACCUUCAACCUUCUACAACCUAGCAAACCACUUAUUGGCUAUGUUACCGCUUGCUUAACCAUGUGUUAGCAUUGCUAGUUACGGGUGUAGUUGCUUCCAUGUGAUAACAUGGGUUCCUUGUUAUAUCACUAUAUUAAUGCUAUUUAAAUUAAUGCACCUAUAUACUUGGUAAAAGGUGGAAGGCUCGACCUUUCUAGCAUGCUGUUUUUUUCCACCUUGUCGCCUUAGUUUCGGCUACCCGUGUUAUAUUCCAUAAUUGAGCGCUCCUAACACGAUCGGGGUUGUUAUGGGGACCGCCUUGGUAUUCGUCUUAGAUUAAAACUGGUGUGGCAAGGCCCAACUUUUAUUCUACAUUUGCCUAAUGACUAAUAAAUAGCAUAUGGACCCACUGGCACCUACGGAUAAUUAAUCAACCCCCUGGUUAGUGCUCCGCAUGAGUGUUGGUCCAUGCACCUAGCAGUCAGUGGUGCCACCUCGGGGCAACUCGAGCGUUUGGCUACCGUCGACUAUGCAUAGACGGUUGUGUACUGAGAAUGAGAUAGGCGGUUCCUAUCGGGUUCGUCGACACACCGGGUGGCCUUGCUAGAUUAGUUUUACCUUUGAUGAAUGUCUUGUGCAUCGGGAUUCCGGUGAUGCUUUGGUUAAUCUCAGAGUUGAGGUUUUCCACUAAGGAGUCCCACGAGAUCAGGAGUUUUGUGAUCGAGGAUUUCUAUGCGGCUUGUGGUAAAUUGUGAUGGACUAGUUGGAGCACCCGUGCAGGGUUAAAUCUUUUGGAAAGUCGUGCCCGCGGUUAUGUGGCAACGUGGAAACUUUGUUUAACAUCUGGUUCUAGGUAACUUGAAGUAAGCUUAAUUAAAAUAUGCCAACUGAGUGCGUAACAAUGACUGUCUCUUUCGUGAGCUCCUUCUCCGGUCGAGGAUACCGUGGGGUUAUGUGUGACGUAAGUAGGUGUUCAGGAUCAUUCAUUUGAUCAUCAGUACUUCACGUCCGCUAUGCAUAGAUCACCCCCCUCUUUAUUUUUGUACUCGCAAGUUAGCCACUAAAUGAAUGCUUAGUCGCUUGCUGCAACCUCACCACUUAACCAUACCUCACCUAUUAAGCUUUGCUAGUCUUGAUACAUUUGGAAAUAAGAUUGCUGAGUCCCCUGUGGCUCACAGAUUACUACAACAUCACUUGCAGGUACAUGUAAAGUGAUAUUAAGACGAAAGCGUGAUGAUUGUUCAUUUGGAGUUUCUCUUUCUUCUUUAUCGAUCUAGGAUGGGUUCCAGGCCGGCAGCCUGGCAUAGCAGGGAUGUACGUCGUUCUUUUAUCGUUUUUUUUCGUCCGUAGACGGACCCUGCUCUUCUACAUGUUGAUUGUAUGUAUUGUAUUGCUGUGACUCUGACGUAGCUUGUGGCGAGUGUAAGCCAAUUCCAUAUACUCAUCUCUUCAAUACAUGUACUUGUAACGAUAUCCAUUCUUGCAAAACGACGAGAUGUGCUUCUAUUCCUGUCGAGGCCCUCGUGCCAAAAUAAGGAUAGGAUUGCAUCUUGGGUGUUACACUACUGUUGGAGGUCGUACCCCUGCACUUGUACCUCUGCUCAUUGAUUCAAUGCGGUACGAGCACAUGAGUCGCCACGGGAUGCAGAAUCCCGCCCCUAGGUUCUCCUAUGAGGGUCACCGUCAGCUACUUGGAUUUAGUGUUUUCUUCAACGUUGAUGUAGCAUUAUUACUAUGUCUCGUUGUUGUAUCCCUCCACCGCGUGCCUGCGUGCCGCCUAGUGAGUCCAGUUUAUCGCCUAAUGCAUCCACGUUAUCACCAAAUUUCAAAUUUGUAAUCGAUGGUCUGUAAUCAAACUUACGUAUGGGUACGUAUGUCGAACUUGACUACUAUAAAGUAUCUAUCGCAUUUCCUUUCGUCAUGUUUGAUUGCUUCAUGAAUGACUAAUAUGCCUUUGCAAUUACUUUAGGCUAAAGUACCCCUGUUAAAUUUUAGCAGGAUGGUUUGACCAGCUGGCCGCCCAUGUGGCCACGCAAACGAUCCACCACCCCUGCCUCCUAAAUAUAUGGCUAGGAUGAUCCAACAGUUUGAACUGAACCGCCAGUUUAUGCAAGGGCUCAUGGACCAGUUCCAAAGGCCGAACAUGGAUUAGCAGCAAGGUGUGACCCUGCAAGACUUCUGCCACCUCAACCCUGAGAUCUACUGUAGCUCAACUCAAGCCCUUAAUGCUGAUGACUGCCUCCGUGAAAUUGCUUAUGAGCUAGAGUCUACCAAUGUGCCCCUGGCGAGCUAUGCCAACUUUGCAGCUUACUUUCUGAAGGGUCCCGCUGCUCAAUAGUGGGACACUCACAGGCGUUCUCAGCCCGCUGGAACUGUCAUCACUUGGACAGAGUUCAAGGCUGCCUACCGUGCGCGCUACAUUCCUCGGGAAAUCAUGGACCGUAAGAAGCGUGAGUUCCGCAACCUUGUCCAGGGCAACAAAACUAUGGAUGCUUAUCAGCGGGAGUUUCUGGACUUAUCCCGCUAUGCUGAAGAAGACAUUGCAACUGAUGCUUGCAAACAGGAGAAAUUACGUGACGGCCUCCACCCUGACACCAAGCUGGCGCUCCUUACUCAGGACUAUGCUGAUUUCGCCACCCUAGUGAACAAGGCCAUUCAGGUUGAGACUGGUCUGCAGGAUUACAAGGAUAGCAGCAAGCGCAAUCGUGACAUGGGCUCAUCUUCAGGCUCAUUUGCUCAAAAGAGGAAGAUCUAGAUUCCAGACAACAUGUACCAUGCACCUGCUCCUGCUCCAAGGCCAUCCUAUGCUGCACCUCAUCUGCCGCCUUCACCACCUAGGCAGCCGUGGCUUCCAGCUCCACCACCUCGAGUUCCUCUUUCCCGUCCUGAGGUCGAAUUGUUCUUCAAGUAUGGCCGUCUAGGUCACCGUACUAGAGACUGCAGGCAGAAUCCGAACCAGCUGGCACUUCCCUCAACUGGCAAUGGCAACAACCAUAACCGCAACAACAAUGCGAAGCCUGCUUAUGUUUGUGGUUAGGCCAACAACAUUGAGAUGGGUCAGGAUCAGGACCAGCCUGCUACCCUGAUGGGUACACUUCUCGUUAACUCAGUACCUGCUUCUGUACUGUUUGAUACUGGAGCAUCGCGUUCCUUUAUGUCAGAAAUUUUUUGCAUACAUGCAUGACAUUAGAAGCGAAGAUAUGAACCUUCCGAUAGUGGUAAACACCCCUGGGGGCCAAUGUCGAACCUCUGUGGUUUGCCCCAAUGUUCUUAUAGAAAUCGAAGGAUUGGAAUUCCUUGCAGCUCCCAUUUUACUGAAGUCUUCCAACAUUGACCUUAUACUGGGAAUGGGCUGGUUGAAGGCUCAUACGGCUUCAAUUGGUUGUGCCACCAAAACUAUCCACCUCCCACACCCUUCAAAUGAACUAAUAAGCUAUCAUGCUCAUCUCGUCCGAGAUGCUGAGGCACAUCUAUAUGCCUUGAAUGCAUUAAAUGCGUCGCCUCUUGAAGGGAUCGAAAACAUACCAAUUGUCCGGGAAUUCCAAGAUGUCUUUCGAGAAGAACUUCCAGGGAUCCCCCCUGCUCGAGCUGUCGAGUUUGUCGUCGACUUGGUACCCGGUACCACUCCUAUCGCCAAGCGUCCUUAUAAAAUGGCACUGCAUGAACUUCUUGAACUUAAGCAAUAAACUGACAAUUCGCUUCGUCUGGGUUUCAUUCGUCCGAGUUCCUCUGCUUGGGGAGCACCUUCUCUCUUUGUUAAGAAGAAGGAUGGAACAAAUCGUUUGGUUCAAGACUAACGUCCUAUCAAUCAGGCCACUAUUCAAAAAAAUAUCCUCUUCCUCGGAUAAAUGAUCUGUGUGAUCAACUUGAUAGUUCCUUAGUUUUCUCUAAGCUCGACUUGAGGUUGGGAGACUACUAGAUCCGUGUUCACAAAGAGGAUAUCCCAAAGACCGCCUUUGUUACUCGCUAUGGAUCAUACGAGUAAACCGUCAUGUCCUUCGGCUUAACCAAUGCACUGGCAACCUUCUCUCGGUUAAUGAAUUAUAUAUUUAUGGACUACUCGACAAAUUCGUCGUGGUAUAUCUGGAUGAUAUUCUGGUAUAUUCCAAGAAUAAAGAAGAGCAUGUCGAACAUCUUUGUCUUGUACUGGAUAAGCUUUAGGAGCAUAAACUCUAUGCGAAGUUUUCCAAAUGUAGGUUAUGGCUGGACGAAGUGACAUACCUUUGUCAUGUGAUCUCCAAAGAUGGUAUUGCGGUGAACCCCGAACGAGUCCAAGCUAUUCUUGACUGGACUCCGCGAAGAAUGUCAAGCAAGUUAGAAGUUUCCUCUGACUCGCCAGCUAUUCCCGUCGAUUCGUCGAGAAUUUCUCAAAGAUUGCAAAGCCCUUAACCAAUCUACUUCACAAAGGCGUUAAGUAUGAGUAGACUGAUCAAUGUCAGGAAAGUUUCCAGGAACUCAAGGGUAAACUAAAGUCCGCUCCGGUACAUGCUCCUCCGGAUACAAAAAGGGAUUUCAUCAUAUAUUGUGACGCUUCUCGUCAAGGAAUAGGUUGUAUCCUUAUGCAAGAUCGCAAAGUGAUUGCUUAUGCAUCACGUCAGCUGCGUCCUCAUGAAGACAACUAUCCAGUUCAUGAUCUCAAGCUUGCAUGCNNNNNNNNNNNNNNNNNNNNNNNNNNNNNNNNNNNNNNNNNNNNNNNNNNNNNNNNNNNNNNNNNNNNNNNNNNNNNNNNNNNNNNNNNNNNNNNNNNNNCCUCUCCUCCUUCUUCUUCUCCUUUUUCCUCUUCCUUGCUUUCAUUUUCCUCUUUUUCUAUUCUUGUCCCCUUCUUCGGGCUAAAUUGGCUAAGAAUGCCUUUUUGGAGCUAAUUAUGUCAUUUCGAGGAUAAUUAGCUAAGUAUAGGUCAUUUUUUAUUAAAUAGGCCAUUUUGGAGCUAACUAAGCUAAUUAUGUCAUUUAGGUGGAACCCUCGCUAACUAUAGGAGAAGAGAAAGAGAAGUAGAAGUAAAAGAAGGAGGAGGAGGAGGAGAAGGAUAAGGAAGAGGAGAAGAAGAAGAAAAAGGAGGAGGAGGAGGAGGAGGAGAAGGAGAAGGAAGAGGAGAAGAAGAAGAAGGAGAAGAAGAAGGAGAAAAAGAGGAAGUCCCCUUCUUAUCCUUCUUCUUCUUAUCCUUUUGUCCCCUUCUUCUUCUCCUCCUCCCUCUCCUCCUUCUUCUUGGAGCUAACUAAGCUAAUUAUGUCAUUAGAUGGAAGUCUAGCUAUUUUGCAGCUAACUAAGCUAAUUAUGUCAUUAGAUGGAAGUCUAGCUAUUUUUUAUUAAAACACUAGAAAUAACAUACCUAAGUUAGGGUGAAGCACGGUGGAUCUGGCUUGUUUCACCUGGAGAAGGCCGCCCUGGAGAAGGCUCGACUGUAGAAGGGUCGCGCGAUGCGUUUCGGGACAUAUUCUGCGCCAAACAUCGUUUGCAAUGUGUAGUUAGCAUGAGGACACUCUUAAGAUCACUCCACUGAAAUGAAACUCAUCGUCCCCGCCACGUUAAUGACUGGCAUCGGCGGAGGGACUUGGCCGUUCUUCUUGCACAUAGACUGUACAUUUGGUUUCGACAAGUCAAACUUUUUAUUUAUUAAUGAAACGGACAUUCAAAUGCAAGAUUUGAAAUAACAUGAAGAAGAAACUUACCACGAAGAGCUCGUAUAUGGCCCUGGUAGACGCUUCAUUCCGUGCCCUCUCCGCCUCCACCAAUGCAGUCGUCCUCUCCUCCAGCUCCCUAAUUUCCUUAUCCUUCUCCGCCAUAGCCGCCUGCAUUGCCGCUCUCUCUUUCUGAAUAGCAGCCUGCAACACAACUCAUUGUUAGCAAUGUAAUCAUAUUGGUUCCAACGCACAACAUAAUGCGAAAAGAUAGUUGAGUCCAUUAAACUAACCUCGAUGGCGAGCUCGACUGGCCGUGGACGACGUGUUAUCUCCGGACAAGAGCUCGUUUGGCGUGCCUUUAUCUGCCGGAGAGUGCUAGGACAACGUAUAAGGCCGUCUCCAAUGGCGAGCGAGCCAUGGGGCCUCCCAUUGCCAGCUAUCAUCACCAGCUCUGGAUCAAUAGGCCCCUCACUCGGGUUAAAGUCCUCCCCUUUACUCGCCUUCCCGUGAUCUCUGUACUUCACGAGCUUGUCGUGGGAGGAGAUGUUGGUGAAGUUUUCUGGAUGCUCGAGGUCAGACUGAGAGAAUGCCUUGACCUUCUUGUACGAGGCAGUAUGGGCCAUCGCAUACAGGUCGUACAUCUGUGGCGCCUCCGUCUUAUUGUGACGCGCCUAAAAGAGAGAGAGCAGAAAAUUGUAUUGGUAAAGGGCUCAAGAUAGCAUUAAGAAUGAAUUGCAUGAGGCAUGAAGCAAAGCACAUACCCAGUUCUCGCCAAAUUGGAUUAAGUUGACGCUCCCUUGAUGGUGUGGCACGCCAACCAUUUUGCCACGCCUCUCCUUGGCGUUGUUGUGGCUGGUCUCCCAUGUUUCGGAGCACCACUGGUCCACCAAGGCCUCCCAACAAUCCAUCUUAUCCACACACCAUCUCGGGGGCACCUAAGUUAAUAAAGAGAAAAUUGAGUGCGUAAGAACCAAAUCAAGGAAACUAACUACAAAGCCUUAAUAAUAUGUAAUUACCUUCAUGUAAUGCUCCUUCUCAAUCUUAGCAUCACGGCACUUCGCCUUAUCAAUCCUAAUACGUCGCGUGGCAUAGUAGUCUCGAACAGCCUGCACCCGAGCCUCGUGCCGAAAGUUUUGAAGUAGGCGGCGACAUUCGGUUUCGAUAACCUUUGCCGCGUCGUCCUCGUAUCCCUCCUCACACCUGUAGAAGGUCUGCAAACGAGACAACACCGAUUAGUACAAUAAAUAGCUAUGGUUAAUUUAUAAUUGUGUGAAAGAGAAAUUACCCAAAACUUUCGGAUCACCAUGUCCGCCCUCGUGUCACACAAAACACCGUCGAUCUCCACCUCCGGCGGGGCCGGGGCACCCAAGUAGUGCUCCCAGGUCAUCCCUACCUCUCGCUCCCGACCGGGCAAUGUAACAAACCCUGGGAAGUUUUGACGGCAAAGAACACCGAGGACGCUGUUGGGCUUGCGGACACCCUUGGCAACAAUCCAACCCCUACAGUAUGACAAAUUGAAGCCAAAACAUUAGAUAUUUGAGAAAACGCGAAGGCAAAAGGUUAAAUAAGAGUAAAUUAACUUACUUGUCCCCAUUUGGCCUAAUCGACCACCUCUGGUCGGGGGUCGCUGGCACGAGCGGGAGCCCCGAACUACCACGCUGGUAGACGGUAUCCCACUGGGUAUCCCCCUCACCCAGCUCCUCGUCGCUACCAGCAUGGCCAGUUGGCUCAGGCCAGGUAUCCCAGUGGGUCUCUUGGGACGUACCCUCAUCCCUGCUGUGCUCCGCAGUCGUGUGGAAGGAAGCCUCUGGGACACGAGUAUCGUGGGUCAAAGGCUCGUCGACCUGAGGCUCGUCGACCCGAGGCUCGUGAACCGGAGACCGUGUAGCCUCCACCUCAGACGAAUCCACCCUAGAAGUCCUCCUGUGCUCAGGUGAAUCAGCUUGGGGUGGUGGCGGAGACCGUGUAGCCCUACCUCUCCCGCGGCCACGUGUACCUUUAGUACAACAUAAAUACCAACAUGAGUAAUAAAAUACCAAUAUGCAUACAACAUGAGUACAACAUAAAUACCAACAUGAAUACGACGUGUACCUUUAGUGCCUCUCGGCUUCGCGGGUGGUCGACCUCCUCUCACGGGGGCCGCUCCUUGCAUAGUAGAGAGCAACACUCUCCGAAGAGGCGAGGCAGGAAUGGAAGUACCCAUCCCAUCACCCGCCGACGAAGAAGCAGCCGCGGCAUGCUUUCGACCCUUUCCCACCAUCUUUCAACACCUGUCAUGACAAAGAGUAAAUGAAAUUAGUACAACAUAAAUACCAACAUGACUAAUAAAAAUUGAAUACCUAACAUGAACUCAAAAUUUAUAUAUAGUAUAAUAGUUGAAUACCUGACAUGAACUAAUAACAAUCGUCCUCGUCUAUAUAUGCUUCGGGGUCAAUAAAUGCAUCAUGAUCAUCACUAUCAUCAAUAAAUGCAUCAUCAUCAUCACUAUCUAGAAGAACAUGUGGAAGGCCACCAUUAUGUAAUCGGUCAAGAAGUGACAGGUCAUCCGCAGCAGUAACCUCUUCUUCUUCCAGCUCUUCCUGUUCGGGCUCAGGGGUUAAGAUGGAUUCACUGUCGCUGUCUACUUCAAUGUUCUGGGGUGAAGUAGAGCGGUUCUUGAAACGUUUCUUGGACAUACGUGUUUCUUGGAAGAAUUCUCCUUCAUAUGUGUCUGGGUUAAUGUGAGGUUCGUAAUCCUCUUCAUUGAGGGUAGGUGGUCUAAAAUGUGGUGGCACUUCAUAAACGACAUCCCAACCUUUGAGAUUUGGAUCAGUUUGGCAGGCCCACGGUAGAUAGAAAACUUGUGUCGCCUGUUGAGCCGUAAUAUAGACAUCGGGAACAUCUAAGUGGGUGUUUUGGUUGAUUUCGACUAGUCCUAUAUGUUCAUGAGUCCUUCUAGUCUCCCUCGGCUCAAACCAAUAACAUUUGAAGACUACGACGGUCGGUGGGUUUUCACAAUAGAAUAGAAGUUCAUAAAUUGCUUCAACCCUUCCAUAAUACUCAGUGUCUCCUUCGCCGAUAGCAGAGACAGAACAAUUUGUAGUCUUUAGGUCGGGCAUAGAUAGCUCUUUGCCAAAGGUACGAAAGUGAUACCCGUUGAUGUUGUAUUUGUCAAAUGAACGGACCUUAUAGUCAAAACCAUUAGCGACUUGUCUCAACUCGGCGUCCAUAGACUCUGCAUCAGCCUACAAGUUUAAUACGAAAGAAUGGAUGCAUUAGCCGCAAAUUAGACCAAUAAGUCAAAUGGGCCCUUAAUGGUAAUUAAUUACCCUUUGUUUGAACCAAGAGAUGAAACCAGGAUAGUCGCCUCCAUGCUUUGCGAGAAGCUCAUACUCUUCGACAGAAUCCUUUUCGAUGACUGCUCCAUCCGAGAAUUCGGCGACGUAUCGACUAUAUCAAAUAUCCGGGAAUAAGAGUGGUUCAAAGCAAUUAGAAGUUGCGGAACAAUAAAUUACCGAGAACUUACUCGAUGUACGGCCGCACUUCUGUUAGGUUGGUGAAGAUAUACAAUGAAAUGGUCCGCCAUUCUUCAACAUCCAACGAUUUCCCUUUUGAAGCACCGGAUGGUGCGAGCUUACCUUUGAAUAGGCUGAGGUUGGAUCGAACUUUUUCUUGAUCGCCAUCAUUGUACCGAGGCUUCGGGUUAUGCAAAUGAUAAUUUUUGGCUUCGUAGUGUGCUUUCACGAAGUUUGCCGCCUCCUCAGUAAUGAAUGCCUCGGCCAUCGAUGCUUCAAUUCUACGUUUAUUUUUACACUUAGCUCGAAGCGUCUUCUGCAUCCUCUCAGUUGAGUAGCACCAUCGAUUUUGAACGGGCCCCCCCAUUCUUGCCUCGGUCGGGAGAUGCAAAAUCAAAUGUUGCAUUGGAUUAAAGAAGCCCGGUGGAAAGAUCUUUUCUAAUUUGCAGACCAACUCCGGCGCCAACUCUUCCAUUUCAUCUAGCACGCCAGGCGAUAGUUCUUUCGCACAAAGAGAACGGAAGAAAUAGCUCAACUCUGCCAGUACUAGCCAUUCAUCCUCAGGGAUAAAGCCACGCAACAUCACCGGCAUUACCCGCUCAAUCCAUAUGUGCCAAUCAUGACUCUUGAGCCCAAAUAUUUUCAAUUUCUCAAGACUCGCUCCCCUCUUUAGAUUCGCAGCAUACCCAUCGGGGAACAUCAACCGCAUUUUCACCCACAAUAGCAUUUCCCUCAUAGCUGGCCUUUCAAUAUUGAACCAUGCCUUUGGCUUUGCUAUGCUUUGCUUUCCUUUCCGUUGUCGCAAGUUUUGCAACGGUCUAUCACAUAGAGCCUCCAGGUCGAUUCUAGCCUUAGGAUUAUCUUUUGACUUCCCCUCUAUGCCGAACAAUGUACCAAAAAUGGCCUUCGCAAUAUUCUUUUCAGUGUGCAUCACGUCAAUGUUGUGUGGGCAAAGGAGGUCUUUGAAGUAAGGGAGAUCCCAUAAGCAUGACUUGUGAGUCCAGGCGUGUUCCGUAUUAUACCCUUUGAAGUACCCUGGAUGCAAAGGAUCGGGCUCGAGAGCGUUUAACUGAUCAAGGGUCUGUUGGCCUGUCAACGCAGCUGGUGCAGUGUUUUUGACAACUCUACCUUUGAUGAAAUUCUUCUUGUCUUUUCUGAACUUAUGGUCAGGAUCCAGGAAUUGUCUAUGCAUGUCGAAGCAAGAAUACUUGCGACCAGCCUGCAGCCAACGGAACUGAAGAGCUGCCUUGUAUGUGGUGCACGGGAACCUUCCAUGCACACACCAGCCAGCGAAUAGCGCAAACGCCGGAUAAUCAUGCGUCGAGUACAUGUACCACACAUGCAUUUUGAAAUUUGUUUUGGUAGCCGCGUCGUAGGUCUUGAUCCCAUUAUCCCAGGCUUCUUGCAACUCAUCCUUAAGCGGCUGCAUGUACACAUUCAUAUUCUUCCCCGGAUAGUUGGGCCCUGGAAUUAUCAACGUCAGGAAAAUGUUCUUUCUUUUCAUAAUCUCUCCGGGUGGCAAAUUUAGUGGAAUGACAAAUACAGGCCAACAACUGUAUUGUGCUGCCGUCAUACCAUACACAUUGAACCCAUCCGUGCUGAUGGCAACUCUAGGUUGCCUUGGAUCUUCUGAUUUAUCCUUAUGUAAUGCAUCGAAGUGCCUCCACGCAAAACCAUCUGAAGUGUGUACCAGCAUCUUGUUCCCAUCCGCAUCUAGUUCGGUUCUUUUGCCCAAUUUGUGCCAUGUCAUCUGUCUGGCCGUCUCUUCGACCAUGAAAAGACGUUGAAGUCUUGGUACGAUUGGCAGAUAUCGAAGAACACUAAUGGGGAUUUUGGUCUGAUUCUUCUCACCCAUGCCGUUGUCUACCACAAUAUACCUGGAAGAAUUGCAAAUGGGGCAAUAGUUCAAGGCCGCAUACUCAAGCCUAAAUAAGGCACAUCCAUUCUCACAGGCAUGUAUCUUCUCAUAGGGCAUCUUUAGUACACGGAGGAUUUUCUCUGACUGGUACAGGUUUGCAGGCAGUACAUGGCCUUUGGGUAGAAAGCGUCCAAAUAUCGUCAUCAUCGCGUCGUAGCAUUCUCUGCCUAGGUUGAAUUGAGCCUUCAGAGCCAUUACUUGCGCGAUGGCAUCCAGCUGACAAAGCUCAGUCUGCUCGUGGAGAGGACGUUUUGAAGACUCCAGCAUUUCAUAGAAGGCCUUUGCAGAUUCCUCCAUCUCAUCGUCCGAAUCCCGAGCAUCAUCAAAGUCUUGCACCAUGUCUUCAAUCCCGGUACCAUGCUCGUCGGUGCGACGACGAAUCACCUCAGCUCUGGCACGUUGGCCAGACUCACCAUGAAAAGUCCACACCGUAUAAUUAGGCGUAAAACCCCACUUCUGCAAGUGUUUACCCAUUUCAAACUCUGUCUGCUUUUUCCAGUUGUCGCAGCUGGGACAGGGGCACCAUGUUUUUUGCUGGCCAUUUGCAAAUGCGGCUCUCACAAACCCCCUGGUUUUUGUUAACCAUUCAUGGGUCAUGUCUUUCUGACUAGGGUGACCAGUGUACAUCCAAGCACGAUCACUCAUGUUGCCUAGCUACCUAUGGGGGCACAAGAAAUAAAUACAUAAUUCAUCAUCUAUAUUCAUACGCUAAUCAAGUUUGUCAGUUUUAUUACGUCCAUGCAACCUACACGCUAAUAGGUAAAGAUAGGUCCUAAUCCCACCCGAGUAUGUGUAGACUGGGUUCGUUUUCCCAUGCUCUGCUCCAGAUGCGACGCACAAUUUCGGCAGCACCUCCCCGCUGUUCUCCUGAUACACGUCUCGGCAAUAAGCAGAGAGGAUGUGUACCCGGAGAACAACAGGGGAGGCACUGACGAAAUUCCACAUCGGAUCCGGAGCACAGCAUACGGGAAAACAAACCCAAUCUACACAUACUCGGGCUGUCCAUGGAUAAUGUUGGACAAUUCGAAAGGAUGGCGGUUAUAAAUAUGCAAAGAAAUGCAUAUUUAUAGAUGUCGCCCUUUCGAACGGGAGACGCAUACUGGUCACGCAUACUCAUGAUUGAAGAAACCUAUAGCUAGCAAGUUUCAUCGGCACGAAGACCGGGACAGAGCAAAUUAAGGGGGUAGGAGGAGAAGUCAUUUGUGCUCACCAACAAACGCAAGGGCGGAGCUCGUCCAACGCACGUGGAGGUCGUCGAACAACUGCACAUUGAAAUUCACCCGAUCAACACAAAUACGAUGUUUUUAUAAUUAACAUGAUCGGAAAAUAUGUGACCUAACUCAUAAUUUUCAAAACUAUGACCCCGUGGGCCUCUGGAAGGCCGAAAAGCACCUUCUCGUUCAAAAGAAGGCAGAAGAGGUGUCGGGGGUCGGGGCUUAGUGGCGUCGGGAGUCAGUGCCGUCGAGGGUCAGUGGCAUCGGGAGUCGGGGGGUUAGUGGCGUCGGUUGUGGGGGGUCAGUGGCGUCGGGGGGCCAGGGUCAGUGGCGUCGGGGGUCCAGGGUCAGUGACGUCGGGUGUCAGUGGCGUCGGGGGUCGGGGGUUGGUGGCGUCGAGCGUCGGGGGUCGGGAGUCGUGGGCCGAGGGGCUGGGUCGGGGGCAGUGGCGUCGGGGGUCGAGGGUUAGUGGCGUCGGGGGUCAGUGGCGUCGGGGGUCGGGGUCCGGGGGUUAGUGGCGUCGGAGGUCGAUGGUCGGGGGUCAGUGGCGUCGGGCGUCAGGGGUCGGGGGUCGAGGGUCAGUUUCGGGGUGCCGGGGUUCCCUUUUCCUCUUCUUUCUUCUUCUCCUCUCUCCUCUUUUUCUUCUUCUUCUUCUNNNNNNNNNNNNNNNNNNUCUUCUUCUUCUUCUUUUUUCUCCUCCUACUCCCCCUCCUCUUUUUCUCCUUCUAUUCUUUUUCUUCUUCUUCUUCUUCUUCUUCUUCCUCUUCUUCUUCUUCUUCUUCUUCUUCUUCUUCUUUCUCCUCCUCUUUCUCCUCCUCCUCCUCUCCUCUUCUUCUUCUUCUUCNNNNNNNNNNNNNNNNNNNNNNNNNNNNUCUUCUUCUUCUUCUUUUUUCUCCUCCUCCUCCUCCUCCUCUUCUUCUUCUUCUUCNNNNNNNNNNNNNNNNNNNNNNNNNNNNNNNNNNNNNNNNNNNNNNNNNNNNNNNNNNNNNNNNNNNNNNNNNNNNNNNNNNNNNNNNNNNNNNNNNNNNNNNNNNNNNNNNNNNNNNNNNNNNNNNNNNNNNNNNNNNNNNNNNNNNNNNNNNNNNNNNNNNNNNNNNNNNNNNNNNNNNNNNNNNNNNNNNNNNNNNNNNNNNNNNNNNNNNNNNNNNNNNNNNNNNNNNNNNNNNNNNNNNNNNNNNNNNNNNNNNNNNNNNNNNNNNNNNNNNNNNNNNNNNNNNNNNNNNNNNNNNNNNNNNNNNNNNNNNNNNNNNNNNNNNNNNNNNNNNNNNNNNNNNNNNNNNNNNNNNNNNNNNUUCUGCUUUUUUUCUUCUAACCUAACUAACUAACCUAAUUAGCCUAAUAAUCUAACCAAAUAAACUAACUAAAUUACCCUAUAUAUAAUAAAAAAACUAACCUAAUAAACUAACUAAAGUAAUUAACUUUUUUAAAAAGAAAAACAAAAAAAACUCACCGGCAGGGGGCGGCGGCGGCACGGGGGCGCGCGGCUGGGGGCUCGCCGCAGGGGGCGUCGGCGGCANNNNNNNNNNNNNNNNNNNNNNNNNNNNNNNNNNNNNNNNNNNNNNNNNNNNNNNNNNNNNNNNNNNNNNNNNNNNNNNNNNNNNNNNNNNNNNNNNNNNAGCGUCCAGUUCAGAAGGUUGAUGAGCUCCUUUCGCCAUAGGCAUGUAGUCUUCAGAGAAGAACCCAGCCGAAUCUCCCCUUCACCCGUAGGGUGGUCAAGCUCAAGGUCCUCAAAUUCGUCUGUUAUUUGAUCCACCAUCACCCUAGCAUGUCCUUCUGGAAUCGACCGACCGUGGUAGGUUGUGCCCGGUUCAGUAGGUAAAACAACUCCAACAGCCGCCUUUACUUUGAAUGUCAUCCAUCGCGCCAUAAGGUGGCAAUGUUGAAACUCUGUGAUAGCAUCCACGGGGUAGCUAGCAGGAGCCGUGAAGAUAGGGUCCAGCUGCUGAGUCUGCUCGGUGGAAGCCACGCUGUUUCUCCGCUGAGAUGGCGGGGUAGCUUCAAGGGAAGCUUCGGCAGGUCGUUUGUUGCGAUCUGCUUCUCGUUCCUCUAGCCCUUGUACCCUUUCGUGCAACGCCUGCAGUUGGCUAUGCUCCACUUUCCUCCUCCUCUCCUGGCAUUUGUAACCCCGUGCGUCUGGAAACCCAACCUUCCACGGAACGGAGCCUGGCGUGCCUCGUGUCCAUCCAGGGUGCUCAGGAUUCCCGAGGGCCAUUGUGAGCUAGUCCUUCUCUCUGUCUCGAAUGAACGCCCUUUGAUGCGCUUUCUCGAUAUACUCCAUAAGCCUCGUGACGGGUAUUCGCAGUUGCUCUUCCGUCCAAACGCACUUCCCUUUCUGACUUCAUUUGUUAUUUUUCAUGCAUUUACUGAUUAUUUUGAGCUAUAAGACCAUGAAAUUGAAAAGCAUUUGAAAUGAACUCUGAAAAGGUUCCAAGUUGGCAGUGGUGACAAUUUUAACACAACAUAUGAUAUCCAUUACAUCUAGGGCACAACAUUACAUUUGCUCAAGUUCACAACAGUGCACAAAUGAUAUAAUUACAUCUAGGGCACAACACACUAGCAGAAACAUAACACACACACUGCCACUUAAUUGGCUUGCUUAGACCAAAUAGAAACUAAACUAGCCACAAUGUUGAUGCCAAGAACAAAGAGAAAACCCAUUGUUUCCAUGAGCUCAUUCCUUUUCUUCAACUUCAAUUGCAUUUUCUUGUUUUCAUUGUUCAGAUCCAUAACCUUCUUCUCCAUCCUACUAGCUUCGAUCCAACUACGUUCAAGGCCACCAUGGAGCUCCUCAAAAGCUUGCCCCACUAGCUCAGUGUGAGGGGGGUCAAUCCAAACAACCCAAUCACACCCAUCACGAAGCUGUUAAAUCAGAGUUCACAUAAUUAGGUGAAAUUCAUAACUUUGCAAUAAAUCGAUGAAAACAGAGUACCAAAUGAUGUUUUGAGGAAUUACAUCGAGUGGACAACCCAAAAACCUUCUUCCCGUGCUUGCUCCACCCCAAGAAACACGGCGAGCAGGAAUUAGCCCAUAACCCAGGCAACGGUGAUUCGAGCGCUCCUNNNNNNNNNNNNNNNNNNNNNNNNNNNNNNNNNNNNNNNNNNNNNNNNNNNNNNNNNNNNNNNNNNNNNNNNNNNNNNNNNNNNNNNNNNNNNNNNNNNNCGAGGAUAAUUAGCUAAGUAUAGGUCAUGUUUUCUUAAAUAGGCCAUUUUGGAGCUAACUAAGCUAAUUAUGUCAUUUAGGUGGAACCCUAGCUAACUAUAGGUCGUUUCAGAGCUAACUUGGGUAAAAUAGGUCAUUCCGGAGCAAAUUAUGCUUAUUAAGCCAUUUUUGAGCUACCUUGGCUAGUUAUAGGCCAUUUAAUACCUAAGUUAGGGGGAAUAGGUCAUCUUGCAACUACGUAAGCCUUAUUAUGUCAUUUAGGAGAGAACUUAGCUAACUAUAGGUCAUUUUUUAUUAANNNNNNNNNNGGAGCUAACUUGGGUAAAAUAGAUCAUUCCGCAGCAAACUAUGCUUAUUAAGCCAUUUUAGAGCUACCUAGGCUAAUUAUAGCCAUUUAAUACCUAAGUUAGGGGGAAUAGGUCAUCUUGCAGCUAUGUAAGCCUUAUAAUGUCAUUUAGGAGAGAACUUAGCUAACUAUAGGUCAUUUUUUAUUAAAUAGGUCAUUUUGAGGCUAACUAAGCUAAUUAUGUCAUUUUGUAGGAUAAUUAGCCAAUUUAGUCUUUCUUGGAUGAGUCUAAGCUACGAAGAAGAAGAGAAAGAGAAGAAGCAAGAAGAGAAGAAUAAGUAAAAGAAGAAGAAGGAGGAGGAGGAGGAGAAGGAGAAGGAAGAGGAGAAGAAGAAGAAAAGAAGAAGGAGAAUGAGAAGAAGGAAGAAUGAGGAAGAAGAAGGAGAAGGAGCUCCUUCUCCUUCUUCUCCUCCUCCUUCUCCUUCUUCUUAUCCUCCUCCUUAUCUUAUUCUUCUUCCCUUCUUCUUCUUCUUCUUCCUUCCUUUAAUUUUUCCUCUUUCUUCUCCUCUUGUCCCCUUCUUCGGGCUAAAUUAGCUAAGAAUNNNNNNNNNNUAGAAGAAGAGAAAGAGAAGAAGCAAGAAGAGAAGAAGAUGUAAAAUAAGAAAGAGGAGGAGGAGGAGGAGAAGGAGAAGGAAGAGGAGAAGAAGAAGAAAAGAAGAAGGAGAAGGAGAAGGAGGAAGAAGGAGGAAGAAGAAGGAGAAGGAGGAGCUCCUUCUCCUUCCUCUCCUCCUCCUUCUCCUUCUUUUUAUCCUCCUUCUCUCCUUCUUCUUCUCUUCUUCUUCUUCUUCUUCCUUCCUUUCAUUUUUCUUCUUUCUUCUCCUCUUGUCCCCUUCUUCGGGCUAAAUUAGCUAAGAAUGCCUUUUUGGAGCUAAUUAUGUCAUUUCGAGGAUAAUUAGCUAAGUAUAGGUCAUUUUNNNNNNNNNNNNNNNNNNNNNNNNNNNNNNNNNNNNNNNNNNNNNNNNNNNNNNNNNNNNNNNNNNNNNNNNNNNNNNNNNNNNNNNNNNNNNNNNNNNNUACGCUUGUGGAACUCUAUCGAGACGAAGCAAACCGGAAACAAGAAUCAACACACGAUAUUCACCACAUGAUGCACAACACAUAUGAUGCAUGAACGGUAUCAAUUAUGCACGAAAUGACAUGGCAAUUCACACAUUCAAACACUACACAUUAAGUGAAGUUCAAUGUGCAACGACUUGCAUAUUGACGAAACUCUACAUUUAAUUAUUUAGUUCGCUCCCGUUUAUUUUCACAGGCAUAUUAAAUGUUGGUUAAACAUGGCAAGAGGUGAAGCGUAAUUAAGCUACCUAUCUAGGCAUUUUAAAUGAGGUCGGAAACGACUUAUAGCAUCUCCGAACUGACCCCAUACGUUAAUUUAUAAUUCUGUCUAGAUCUAAACUAACACGUUUUAAUAUUUGUUAAACAGCAAAAUAAAGUGGUCCGCGUGAUUCUACGCGUCGUUCCAAUCAAUUUACACAUAAAGAUCAUUGCAAAUAGAGCUACGGUUCAAAAGAUAUGAUCACCGCAAGAUAUGAUGCCAUGUAUGCAAUAUGNNNNNNNNNNAUCACAAGCAUUCCUAACCAAGAAGGCAGCAACAUAAUAUGAACUUACACGAGAUUCCAAGCAAGUUUCAUAUAUAGCACAUUCUAAACGGAGCAACGGUUCCACAAAUACAAGCUAAACAAGAAAUGACUACAAACUGUCCAAAAACAGCAUGACAUUUUCUACACCCCAAAACAACAAGCUACAUAAUUCGAAAAUUCCCAAACAAGACAUGAGGCAGUAGUGGUCAAGAUGCACUACAACAUCCUACUAAUAACAUCUAGCAUGGCAGCAUGGAUCACUAGGAAAAGAACUCACAAAAUGGAAUCUCACACACAGUUUCAUACUUAGUGAAAAUAACAGUUUUGACAAAGUAGUUUCCAACAAGAAGGCAUUUGACAGCAGCAAAACUAUAUGCUACGGGGCAUCGAAUGGCAUGAAAUUUUAUAGCAUGCUAGAGAAUCUUAAGGAAUACAAUUAACUCCAUUGCACCAACCUCAAAGUAAUUGUAGAUCACUAGCAAAAUUCAUGGCAAGACAGCAACAAAAUAUUAUAAAUGUCAGACUUAGAAAUAUUUCAGCAUCUCCAAAUCAGCACUUUUUUCUAGCAUGUUGGCAACAAGCAAACAACACCUAAACAUGAAUUUCUAUAGCAACGAAAAUUACUAGGGGCUAGUCUACAUGUCCAAGGGCAUAUCUCUAGUUCACAACUCAUGCAUAUCACGCACGGAAUAAAUCGCACAAAAUAAUCAAGAGGGCACAUGGCAAAAUAUCAUGCACGCUAACUUACUCGAAAAGCAAAACUAAAUGCACAGACAAAUUCUAUGGAUAUUUUUACCCCGGAAACAUAUAUAAUAUGUGGGGUUGCAAAAUAAAAUUAACGCCACAUAUAUAUGCGAGAAUAUGUCCUAAACACGACAUACAAACUAUUGACAGCUCCUACAUGCAAAAAAAUGCAAGCAAGUACUCUAAAAUACAUGGCAAAGGGUCAUGAACAUUGUGAACAUUUUAUCUACGGGAUUUGAACAAACCGGACGCGCACAAAAACAUCUACGCAAUAGUUAACCUAUUAGGACAUCACGCCAAUCUAGGCNNNNNNNNNNNNNNNNNNNNNNNNNNNNNNNNNNNNNNNNNNNNNNNNNNNNNNNNNNNNNNNNNNNNNNNNNNNNNNNNNNNNNNNNNNNNNNNNNNNNAAACAAUAUGACGUGCGUAAAUAAUAAUAUUCACAAUUUUAUUUUAUUACCAUCAUUUGUGUUCAGUUUCAUUUAUUCAUAUAUAUGUAUUGACCCCCUUCUUCAAAUUAGAUAUUUCGGAUGCGGAAUGAACUCCUACCAGCAGAUCGUAUGCGAGGAAUUCAAGAGGAAUUGGCGGCAUUCUUUCUUGACCACGUGAUCGCUAAAGACGGAGAAUACCAUGUGAACCCUAAUCAGUUGAGUUUUAAUUAGGAGAUUAUAUUGUAAGAGAUAAUUAUAUUGUAUAUAUGUAGCCAGUAGCGUCGGAUAGAUAUACGAGAACUUGUUAUUCGACCAAUCUCUCAGAGAAGGAGAGGUGGUCGAUAUCACUUCUCUCUGUAUGCAUAUGUUCAUGACGAUCUUCUGUUUCCUUCAUUUGCUUACUAGCUAGCGUGUGUAGUCCUCUCUAUACGUAUAGUAUGUAGCAUCGACCAAGCACGGAGAUAAGAGAGGACACUUCUCUCUAUUCAUUAGCUAGCUAACACAAUAUAUGAAACACCUAAAUUAACCCCCCCAAACCCCCUAACCCCCCUUUCAAAAAAACAAAAACCCCAGCACGUGAAAUGCUGAUGCGUGGAUGCCUUUUGGUCCCGGUUGGUGUCACCAACCGGGACUAAAGGUCCCCCUGCCUGGGCUCACCGCAUCGGCCACGUGGAGGCCCAUCUGUCCCGGUUCGUGUAAGAACCGGGACUAAAGGCCAAGGGCAUUAGUAACGACCUUUUAGUCCCGGUUCCGAAACCGGGACAGAAAGCCCUUACGAACCGGGACAAAAGGCCCCUUUUCUACUAGUGUUCAGAUGUCAAAUUGCAGCAGUCAUUUGCUUUUAGGGGAAAACUAGUAUAUGCUCGACUGAUUCAUCUUUCGCCUCAGGCAAACAAAAAGGUCAAAUCUUUUGAAGACUGUAAGAAAUAGUUUCAAAGUAACACUGGUCAUAAUAUAUAUGUGGCUAUUUGGUGAUUUGACUAAGAAGUAAAGUUCUACUCAACAUAUUCACNNNNNNNNNNGUCCUUUGCAUAAUCAUGCAUACCAGGCAUGUUAAUCUACUUCAUAUUAUCUACUUCUUACAAAAUUAGUAUACACUGGGAUGGAGCCCAUAUUAGAGCCCAAAAAUAGUACCAUGCUGGCUGCACCUCAUAUAUUGCCUUUCGAAAAAAUCACACACAAGUAUAUGAUUGAUGAGGUUCCGAAUAAGGUCACAUUAAAUACUAUGUAUUAUCCCACACAAAAAACAUGUAUUUCUUGACCAUGUGAUCGCUAUAGACGGAGAAUACCAUGUGAACCCUAAUUAGUUGAAUUUUAAUUAUGAGAUUAUAUUGUAAGAGAUAAUUAUAUUGUAUAUAUGUAGCCAGUAGCGUCGGAUAGAUAUACGAGAACUCGUUGUUCGACCAAUCUCUCACAGAAGGAGAGGUGGUCGAUAUCACUUAUCUCUGUAUGCAUAUGUUCAUGACGAUCUUCUGUUUCCUUCAUUUGCUNNNNNNNNNNCUAGUCCUCUCUAUACGUAUAGCAUGUAGCAUCGACCAAGCACGGAGAUAAGAGAGGUCACUUCUCUCUAUUCAUUAGCUAGCUGACACAAUAUAUGAAACACCUAAAUUAACCCCCCAAAACCCCCUAACCCCCCCUUUCAAAAAAAAACCCCAGCACCUGAAAUGCUGACGCGUGGAUGCCUUUUGGUCCCGGUUGGUGUCACCAACCGGGACUAAAGACCCCCCCUGCCUGGGCUCGCCGCACCGGCCACAUGAAGGACCAUCUGUCCCGGUUCGUGUAAGAACCGGGACUAAAGGCCAAGGGCAUUAGUAACGACCUUUUAGUCCCGGUUCCGAAACCGGGACAGAAGGCCCUUACGAACCGGGACAAAAGGCCCUUUUUCUACUAGUGUUCGGAUGUCAAAUUGCAGUAGUGAUUUUCUUUUAGGGGAAAAUUAGUAUAUGCUCGACUGAUUCAUCUUUCGCCUCACGCAAACAAAAAGGUCAAAUCUUUUGAAGACUCUAAGAAAUAGUUUCAAAGUAACACUGGUCGUAAUAUAUAUGUGUCUAUUUGGUGAUUUGACUAAGAAGUAAAGUUCUACUCAACAUAUUCACGUGUGCCUUUGCAGAAUCAUGCAUACCAGGCAUGUUAAUCUACUUCAUAUGUUAAUCUACUUCAUAUUAUCUACUGCUUACAAAAUUAGUAUACACUGGGAUGGAGCCCAUAUUAGAGCCCAAAAAUAGUACCAUGCUGGCUGCACCUAAUAUAUUGCCUUUUGAACACAAGUAUUAUGAUUGAUCAGGUUCAGAAUAAGGUCACAUUAAAUACUAUGUAUUAUCCCACACAAAAAACAUGNNNNNNNNNNAUCUCUCCACACCGAUUAUUGCUGACUCAAGGUCAUCCUCCUUAGAUUCGUUAGGCCGUGCUCAAGUAGGACUACACUUUUCUGGUCAUCUGAGGCUAUUUGUUUCUUUUUUUGCAGAAAUAAAUCACAUGAGAGAGAGAUAGAUAGAUAGAUAGAUAGGUAGAGAGAGAGAGAGACCUCGGGUCCCUCUGAUGUACAACCACACAACUACUUGACCUCGUUACUGGGAACUUGAUGAAUGGUGUGUUGCGGGUGGAUUUCCAUGUGCAUGAGAUGAUGAGUUAAUUAAAAUGCUAUUGGAUUUGGAUAUUUGAUCUGAGUUUGUAGGGAGACCUUUUCGCACUAACCUUCACAUGGGAGAAGUUAUGGGUACUUGACGUCGUAGUAUCAGCCGAAGCUCUUCAUACGUCUGCAAUGGAGCGGCGCGUGCCCGAGUGGCCCGGAUAAACAUCAUUCUUGUAUAAGAGGUGCCACGACUGACAUCGAUCACCCACGCAUCAUGCAGGAGCGCAAAGGGUGAUGGGCCCAUAACCCGUGCGCGCUUAGGAUUUAGACCGACAGAGGGCCUCUGUGUUGAGCCUAGGUAGGGCUGGGAUGUGUUGAUGUUCCGAGGCCUGGCAUGACCCAGGAAAGUGUGUCCGGCCAGAGUUUAUCAAGCGUGUUGGGUACUGUGGUGCGCCCGUGUAGGGAUGAAAAUUAACCAUUUGAAUAGUCGUGUCCACGAUUACAGGACGAUUUGGAGUUGUGCCCUGAUCUUAUACAACUUGAACUGUUACUUAACUGGAAUGUUUGCUCCGGCAUUGCUUCCUCACAAGGAGUCGAGGAAGAAUCUAUGGAUGUGACUUUAAUUCAUAUUGCUGCAACAAUAUGACUAUUAAUUGUGUUACUUGCUCUACUCUCGUCUAUUGCUGCAAGACCCCUGAAGAUGCCAGUCUUCGAUAGGACUAGUCCCCUCUCUUUAUUCUCGCAUUGCUGCAGUUAGUCCACGUAUAACCCCUUCCUUUGAUACUGAUGCAUACUUAGCAUAGUUUUGAUGUCAGUCUUGCGAGUACUUUGGAUGAGUACUCACCGUUGCUUUGCUCCCCCUUUUCCCCUUGAUCCGUUGCUGCGACCAUAUGAUGGAGCCGAGGAGAUGGCGUAUCCCACCGACGACGUCUACUACCACGACGGUGCCUACUACAACGUGGAGGACGCUGAAGACCAGGAGUAGUUUAGGAGGUUCCCACGCAGGAGGCCUCGCCUCGUUCGAUCGUUGUAUCUUUUGUGUGAGCCUUCUCUAAGGCAUUAUCAUGUUUCAUGUCUGUACUCAGAUAUUUGUUGCUUUCGCUGACUCGUGUGUUUUUCGAGCUUCUGUAUUCUAGUCCUCGAGGCCCCUGGCUUGUAAUACGAAGCUUGUAUGUUUUAUUUGUGUCUAGAGUUGUGUUGUGAUAUCUUCCCGUGAGUCCUUGAGCUUGGUCGUACGCAUUUGCAGGUAUGAUUAGCGUACGAUCAAAUCGAGGGCGUCACAAGUUGAUAUCAAAGCCGACUGCCUGUAGGUAGCCCCCUUUCCAACUCCUUGGAUGAAGUUGAGUCUAGUAUUUGAAAAACUUACUAACAUUGUUGUGUGGCUUACGGGCCGACAUCUCAAUCAGAUGGUAUUAGUAUCUUUUACUCCUUUUCUAUACUCUGGGUUCUACUCUCUCUUCUCUUCCGGGUUAAAGAUUUUGCUAACUCUAACAUUAGGUUCUCAUAAUCACAUCGACCCGGAGAGCUAGAUUAUCUACGGUAGUUCAUCUGAUAAUAUGUUAUACACUCUAUCACUUGACAUCCUUGAUGUUUCCUUUUCAGAUGCGUCCCGCAAGGCAGACCGUAUGCCUGACUAUGGCUGUCGAUGCGACCGGGUUCUCGGCUAUUCUGGUUGACCUCUUGACCAGGAUGGGAUAUCGCUGGUACCUCGAGUACACUGUGUAUGAGGACUUCUGCGAGUUCAACCAGUACCAGUACCAGGCUGAAGUUCACAUCUUCGAUCGGACGGACACCUCCACCCACGAGCUGCACACCUUCUGCGGUGUUGGGUUGUCGAUCGAUAUGGCCGUCCAUGAUGCGUCCUAUAUCGCUAUCACCCGCCGCCGUGGAUCGUACCCUUGCAUGGAGGAGACCGCCUUUAGAUACAUCAAGUAUGUUCCUGUUGGGGAUGAGACUAGAUCUAAUCAUACUGCCUAUGUUGCUCGCGUUCAGGAGCGCAACGAUUGGUCCCACGUUGCUGUUUGUACCUCCUACGUGAGGCAUCGCUACGACCCAUAGGUUUUGGUGCAGUACAUGGAGGCGCUGGAUCGUGCCUUCCGAGCUCAGACUGUGGAGCUGUAUGCCAUGCGUACCUGUCUUUACGACGCGUUGACACAACUGCAACCAAUAGUUGAUGCGAGGAUCCACCCUUCGUUUAUCCUUCACCCAUGCAGGACAGAGCUACCACCAGGUCUUGAGUGGCCUGCUUGUGACAGCCCGAGAUCGACGUUCCAGAAUAUUCCCCUUUUAUUCCAUUCUCGUCGUGUGGUCCGUUUGCCUGUCGCAUUCAUCAUCCCAUCAUCCGCGUUGCAUCAGCACCGUGUUGUCGCUAGUUUUCAAACCUACGUAUGUUAUUAGUUGCCGGUUCUUUCUGUUUUCGUCGCUCACCGUUUUGAGACCAACCGCACACGCACGCACCCGCGACAUGGAUAAAAUAUUGUUUUUAAAAGUGUGCAAAAAAUAUUCUCGGAUUGAGUCGAAACUUGGCGUGCGGUCUUAUUUUAAUAUAGGUAGGCCGCCUGCCCAAUUUCGUCGCAAUCAGAGUCUGUUUGAUACCCGAACGGUCGAGCGUAGUGGCACCGUCUUCGGUUUAUCAUCGGACGUUUUCGGGGUUUUAAAUAUCGUUGCCGGGUGGCCCGUUUUUCCACUCUUCCCCACCUAGACACUCUACACAGCCACCUACUCCCUCCGUCCGGUGAAGAGUGUACUUUUGGCUUUAAUUUUUUCCACAAAAGAGUGUACUUUUAUCUUUUUAAUGCACUUUAAAGUAUAAAAAAUGCUUCUCUCUCAUCACACGGUAAUCAAGACCAAUAACAUUCUAUAUACAGUUUUCUACACGCACUUAGCUCAUUCGGGGUUAGGUAAUUAAAGAGGAGAGAGAUGGUGUGUUGCACCUUUCCAAUGCAUUUUUUUACUCCACUUCAUAAUUUGUCCUAAAAUGUCUAUAUGUACACUUUUCACCGGACGGAGGGAGUAGCCCCUACCCGUGACCAGGAUCGUCCGAUUCCGAUCCUAUGGUCGAAAUUGGUGCUAAAUUCCGCAAACCCUAGCCCCUUCCUAUAAAUAGAUGCCCCUAACCUUCCCGUAAUGGAAACCCUAGCCCCUGCCUCGGGAUCUGCGCCACCCAGCCGCCACAGCUAGCCUCCUUCCUCUCUCCUCCAGCCGUAGGCCCGUGGAGCUCGGGUUGGGCCCGCCUAAGCCCAUAUCGGCUCGGAUCGCGCGGCCGCCGCCCCGUUCUGCCCCGAGCCCCGGCUCCUCCCGAUCUCCUUCCGCUCCUGGGCGCAGCCGCCCUCUCCCCGUAGGAGCCCCUCGACGCCGCGCACCUGGGCGCCGGAGCGNNNNNNNNNNNNNNNNNNNNNNNNNNNNNNNNNNNNNNNNNNNNNNNNNNNNNNNNNNNNNNNNNNNNNNNNNNNNNNNNNNNNNNNNNNNNNNNNNNNNAAAAUGACCUAUACUUAGCUAAUUAUCCUCGAAAUGACAUAAUUAGCUAAUUAUACUUAGGAAAAAGGAGAAGAAGGAGGAGAGGGAGGAGGAGAAGAAGAAGGGGACAAAAGGAUNNNNNNNNNNNNNNNNNNNNNNNNNNNNNNNNNNNNNNNNNNNNNNNNNNNNNNNNNNNNNNNNNNNNNNNNAAGGAGGAGAAGAAGAAGGGGACAAAAGGAUAAGAAGAAGGAAGAGGAGAAGGAGAAGAAGGAGAAGAAGAAGGAGAAGGAGCGGAGCUCCUUCUCCUUCUUCUUCUCCUUCUUCUCCUUCUCCUCUUCCUUCUCCUUCUCCUUCUUCUCCUUCUCCUCUUCCUUCUCCUUCUCCUCCUCCUCCUCCUCCUCCUCCUUUUUCUUCUUCUUCUCCUCUUCCUUCUCCUUCUCCUCUUCCUUCUCCUUCUCCUCCUUCUCCUCCUCCUCCUCCUUCUUUUACUUCUUCUUCUCUUUCUCUUCUCCUAUAGUUAGCUAGGGUUCCACCUAAAUGACAUAAUUAGCUUAGUUAGCUCCUAAAUGGUCUAUACUUAGCUAAUUUCUCUCCGAAAUAACCUAUAUAUACACUACUUCAUCUAGUAUUAUUUUUCUAACUUUCUUAUUUGUCAUUUUGCAGAUUACCUUCACUUCACGGGAAGCUUGGUUGAUGGAAUGCUUGAAGAUGAUUUCUUGNNNNNNNNNNNNNNNNNNNNNNNNNNNNNNNNNNNNNNNNNNNNNNNNNNNNNNNNNNNNNNNNNNNNNNNNNNNNNNNNNNNNNNNNNNNNNNNNNNNNUGGCCGGCUGGGCCAACUUGGCCCAGUUGGGCGRGGGGUUUAGUUUUUUUUUUAAUUCUUUCUUAAUUUUUUUUCUUUUUUUAUACAUACAGCUCCUGUUUUAAUUAUAUAGGGAUUAUAGUAACUUCAAAAUGCCCAAUUGACUUUUAUAACUUAUUUAGGAAAGUUUUAAUAACUUUCCCGACAAUUUUUAUUUCAAACAUUAUAAAACUUUUCCCGUUUGAUUUAUUUUCAAACUUCAAACUUCGACUCGGUUUCGACUAUCACGAGAUCAACAAUAGAAUUAUAGUGACGUGGCAUCCUUUGCAUAGGUUUAUUGUAGUUCAAGUACCGAGAUUAUUGUAGUCUAAUCCGGGGAUGUCACAAGUCUCCCCUACUAACAAGAAUUCUCGUCCCAAGAAUUAAGAGGUAGAAGGAAAUAGCUCGGGGUAUUCAUCAUGAAGAUGAUCCUCGUGUUGCCAAGUGGUAUCAUCUUUAGAAUGAUUUGACGACUGCACUUUAAGGAACUUGGUGACUUCGCGACGAGUCUGACGUUCAGCCUGGUCGAGAAUGCGGACCGGAUGCUCUUUAUAGGAGAGGGUUUGUUGCAGCUCAAGCAUAUCAUGAUCCACUGCACGAAUAGGAUCCUUGAAGAAGUGGCGGAGCUGAGAAACAUGGAAGACAUUGUGAACCUAAGAAAGGUUCGCCGACAGUUCCAAUUGAUAAGCCACUCUUCCACGCCUUUCGAGAACAGUGAAAGGACCAAUAUAGCGAGGAGCUAACUUGCCGUUGAUCUCGAAACGAUGUGUACCUCUUAUUGAUGUGACUCGAAGAUCAGCCUUUUCGCCAGGUUGAUAGACCAUAUCUUGAUGAUGAUGGUCAUACUGACUCUUUUGACGAGACUGAGCAGCCUUCAGAUUGUCGUAAUUAAUGCGGACUUUAUCAUUAGCAUGUUGGAUAACAUCUGGACCAAAGAGUGAUCAAUCCAUUGAACGGUGGCUCGAGAAUUCCAUAUGAGCCAAGUGCAAAGGAUACUUUGGAGUCAAAGAUGUUCAGGGGAGUCAGGUUUCAAUCCUGUGGAACUUUGGGUUAUGGGUCCACCAUGUGGGCUGAGAGUAGGCAGAGGGGUGAUAUACUAUACGGUCUUGGUAGCAAGACAUGUCAGAGGAUAGCCUGUCAGUUAUGUUGGAACAACAGCGAUACCAAGGGCAGGGAACGAAUAUAACCAUUUUCCUGCUCGUUGAAACGAGGCAGACCAAUAGGCAAGGUUCUCGUCCACCAGCGGUUACCGGAAUGUUAUCCACAAUACUAACGGGGUCUGACCAACAGAGUUGUAUACCGAGAUUUUUACCUAAGCAGGGAAUUAACACUGCUUAGAUAAUUAUGCCACAAGAAAGGUCCAACAGACCAAAGAGAAUGAGAAUGUGUGCACACACACAAGAAUUUAAAGUAUACCAUUCCUGAGGAGAACAUAGAGUAUGGUAGACAAAGAGAAUCACGAUGUUUACCCAUACCAUGCGGUUUGGAUAAUUGAUGAGGGACAAUCUAGCAUUGCGCUUCCAAUGUUCCUGUUGACAUUUGAAGUACCACAUCCGUGCUUCGGGGUAGCAUCGACAUGGUCAUCCGAUAAAGGUCGGACCAAUGGGCACACAAAGAGGAUUCAUGAGGAACAACUUAUGAAAUAAGUCAUAUAUUCUCCGCAUAGUAGAAUGGCUAACCUUACGGAUGGAAGAAUUUAUAACGAUAGGUCCUUCGGCCCGGUGUGCCACACAAGACAUCACCGUACCGGGUAACGUAAGACCAAAGUUAUAAUUAUUGGGAAAAUGUUCCAACCAUCAUAUCUGCCCGAGAUUCAAAUCUGAUUGGUGUCAGGACACCUCAGACUCAAGAUGCCUGAGAAGAAAUAUGAAGAUACAAGAUUCUCAUGAUAUGAACUAGACAAGCAAUUCUUGAAUCAUGAGUUCGAUUGAAAGACAUAUGAACACAAUGUCAAGACAUUCGUGCCCACGUGGAAUUCUUACAACACAAUGCAACUGAGUUCUGAUUUGAGAACCAUCAUCGAGGAUAACAAGGCCCUUGCGUAAGCCUCGAUUAGCUCUUAUGACGGAACUUCCUUUCCGUUGAUCAAAUCAUUUAGUGGCUUGGCGUGCUAAGAGAAGUUAUAUGAAGUGAAGAUAACAAAUCUUCAAAACAUAAAACACUUCACACAUGCGUGAAUGAUUUGGUAUUUCCCGAGAGGAAGCGAAACAAAACUUUCACAUAUUCACGGCGGAAAGACUGCACGUGAACCUUGGGAAAACACACUUCUUCUAUCAAACAUAUCCUUCACAAGCUAGGCACAAAGAUAAAGCAUUCAAGGGCUUCAUCAUGAACCAUGAAUAUGUUGAGGGUGUUGUCGAUGAGCUCAGCAUCAAUCCUUCAAGAUUUUGACAGGCAUGAAUUUCCAAAAUUAUAAUAUCAAGGAGAUAGCAUUUGUAAAAUCAAAUGGUAUAAUUUCGUAUGCUCGAGGGAACAACAACAAUUAGACAUUGGUCGAAGGGUGCAGUCGGAAAUACGGACGGAGUAGCACAAGCAAUGUCAAAAAUGAUGAGUUAACACCCCACUCACUAAGAAUGAAACAAUCAAUUGUUAACCUCAAGUCAACAGGGAUGCCAAAAGUAUUGGAAUCACACAUCAGAGUUCACUUGUUGGUAUUCUGGUUUGAAACAACACGGGACCAUGUAAUGAAUGGUGAUGUCGAGAAGUAUCACUAUAUCAAGAAUUCUUAAGAGGUGCAAUGAUGCUGACAACAUUCUUGACAGAAAAGAUAGUAAUACUCCAAGGUAGAAGAUAACAUAAGCUGAAUAGCAAGGAACUUAAGGGACAACACAAAACAUGAACACGUUUGUGUUGGAGGGAAGGUAAACAAUGAUGUCAAUGAUAAUACAAACCAUCGAGGGGCAAGGAUGGCAUUUAUCAUCAUGCAUUCGAUUGAUACCCAGCAAGACCUCAGAAUGAUGAUGAUGAUCACGACACAUUUGUCGAGAAAGUUUUCAUGAAGAUGUAAUUGUUCACCGAUGAAACCAAGCAAGGGAAUGGUGAAGCAAGAGGUUGUCGGAAUCACACAUAAGACUGCUAACUUAGAAUUGAGAUCGCCCUUUAAGACAACCAACAUGUUGUCGAAAGGUUGAUGUAAGCUUAACAGCUUGGCAUGACAUGAUCGAGUACAAACUCGUUAACAAGGAAGAUUGCUAAAAGUUGUUGAAUCACAAUGCAUACUCGAUUCAGUUAUCGAUGUACUCGCGUGUCCAACAACUCAAACACGAGGCAACUGGAAUUAAGGAAAAUAUCAUAGUUGAUGAGGAGCUCACAAGAAGUUUCAUAGCUCCACGAUAUCCUCGAGCUACAAGGAAUAAUACUCGAAGGUAGAUCAACUUUAAGGUUUGGACCGGUGUGUUGAUCUGAAGAAGACAAGUACUUUAACUCGUCUGAGAAUGAAAUCAAGGUAGGACAACAUGGUCGGAACCAUGAUUGCAAAGGACAAGAUCACCAAUACUAGAUUUAAACCACAUAAUGAACGAUUAUUGAUACGAGAAGUUUCUAUGAUAGGAUCAACGUCGUUUCCAUGGGCAUGAACACAAAGUUCAAGGUCGACUCCCACUUCAUCAAUGCAUCACCUGCCAUUUACUCCUCGUCUCUGAUCAGGUUGUAGCUUUGAAAGAAUAUCCGACAAAACACCAGAAGAGCAAGAAUCGUGAAAACUCUUCGAGCCAUAUUGAUUUAGGAAGGUAUAGGUUCAACCCGUCGGGGCAUCUUAGGAACAUAUACCAUACAUUCCAAGAGCAAUUAACACAUGCUUGAAGGGCAUGGAUGACAAAAGCGUAGGGUACAACUCAUCAGAGGGAGAAGACACAAUUUACUAAUGGCAUUAUGUAUCAAGGGAAAAAUAUGACAAGAAUUUUUUGAAUGUAAAGGAUGUCGUCGGAUAAUAACCGAGCAAUGGGUCUCACAAUCCACAAAGGACCUCAUGUGAGUGUCAGUACUCAAUCAGAGGGAGAUGGGAUGCAAUGCAUCAGGUUAUAGAACAUCUGAAAAAUAUUGAUACUUCAUUACCGAAGGAAUUAGGAUUUCCAGGUUUGUGUAUCAUAAUCAGAUGCUCCGAUCAAAUACAAGUAAGCUAAAUGGAUUUAGAUGGACAACUACCACCGUUGAUUUGUCCAGAACCAGCUCUGUCUGGAAGGACGUCUGAGCUGGAAGAUAAUUUAUGAAUAUCAACAGAUGAUUAUGCAUAUUCACACAAAGGUAGAAUCAAUAAGAUCACAAGAAAUUCACAAAGGAAUUUAAUGAAUGCGGCUAGACAUAUGGAUUUAACCAUAACACAAGCAGGUGAAAAAGGUCAAAAGCCAUAGGUUACUGGGGAUUCUGAAAGAUCGAAUAGUAAUUAAAAGAACUUUCGAAACCCAUGACAACUGACGACGGACGAAUCCUCGAUAAGAUAAUUUGUUGCAUCUCGUAAAAACAAGAGCAUUUGGGAAGAAAAUAUGAAUGCCAUUUGUAUGUAGUCAUCCAUAAGGGUUGAAGGAGGAAGGGAAGUCGCAAGAGCGAUGGGCACAAGUUCUCAAGAGAAACAUCGGAGAGUACUAUCAAAGUCUUCUGACGGAUUAAGCCAUCGUCUGGAAUUACGAGGCUCUCCGGGAGGAAAUAUUUACGGGAACCUAAUGUUAGAGUUAGUAAAAUCUUUAACCCGAAAGAGAAGAGAGAGUAGAGCCCAGAGUAUAGGAAAGGAGUAAAAGAUACUAAUACCACCCAACUGAGACGUGGGCCCGUAAGCCACAACAUCAGUGUUAGUAAAGUUUUUCAAACACUAGACUCAACUUCGGCCAAGGAGUUGGAAGGGGGCUACCUACAGGCAGUCGGCUCUGAUACCAACUUGUGAUGCCCUCGAUUUAAUCGUACGCUAAUCAUACACGCAAAUGCGUACGAUCAAACCCAAGGACUCAUGGGAAGAUAUCACAAGACAACUCUAGACACAAAUAAAAUAAUACAAGCUUCAUAUUACAAGAAAAUGGCCUCGAGGGCUAGAAUACAGAAGCUCGAUAAAAAACACGAGUCAGCGGAAGCAACAAUAUCUGAGUACAGACAUAAACCAUGGGAUGACUUAGAGAAGGCUAGCACAAAAGAUACAACUAUCGAACGAGGCGAGGCCUCCUGCCUGGGAAGCUCCUAACUAGUCCUAUUCUUCAGCGGCCUCCAUGAAGAAGUCACCAACGGGGUGGCAGGCGUCGGCAGGAAACUCCAUCUCCUGGGCUCCAUCGUCUGGACGCAGCAACGGAUCAAAGGGACGAAGGGGGAGCAAAGCAACGGUGAGUACUCAUCCAAAGUACUCGCAAGACUUACAUCAGGACUAUGCUAAGUAUGCAUCAGUAUCAAAGAAGGGAUUUGGUUAUAUGUGGACUGACGGCAGCAAUGCAAGAAUAGAGAGAGAAGGCCUAGUCCUAUCAAAGACUAGCAUCUGUAGGGUCUUGCAGCAAUAGACGAGAAUAGAGCAAGGGAACACAAAUAUUAGUCAUAUUGUUGCAGCAAUAUUAAAGUGAGGUCACAUCCAGAGAUCCUCCCUCGACUCCCUGCGAGGAAGCAAUCCCGAGGCUACUAAUUCCAGUUAAGUAACAAUUGUAGUUGUAUAAGAUCAGGGCACAACUCCAAGUCGUCCUGUAACUGUGGACACAACUAUUCGAAUAGUUAAUUUUCAUCCCUGCAGGGGUGCACCACAUGUCCCGACGCGCUCGAUAACACUCUGGCCGGACACACUUUUCUGGGUCCUGCCCGGCCUAGGAAUAUCGACACGUCGCAGCCCCACCUAAGCUCAGCAGAGAGGACAACCCGCCGAUCGAAAUCCUAAGCGCAAAGGGUUGAUGGGCCCAAUUUGCCUCCGUGCUCCUGCAUGAUGCGAGGGCGGCCGACCUCAGUCCUAGCACCCCUUAAUCACAAGCGCGAUGCAUCUCAGGACCAGUCAGGCGCAUGCCGCUACAUCGCGGACGUCUGAAGAGCUUCGGCUGAUACCGCGACGUCGAGUACCCAUAAUUAUUCCCACGCAGAUGGUUAAUGAGAAAAGGUCUCCGACCAACCCAGAUCAAAUACCCAAAUCCAUUAUCAUUUUAAUUAGGCCAUCAACACAGUCUCGGGGGAAUCCACCCGUCUUAACAACUAAUCACCAAUGAUCCCAGUAACAUGGUCGAGUAACUAUGUGGUUGUAACAUCGGGGGGAAUCCGAGGUAUCACCCUCCUUGGAUUCCGAAAGAUGUAUCCAUCAAGGUGGGCUUAGAGGAAUCACCCUCGGGGGUCCCACACUUGAGGGGUUGCACGACAGAGGCUUCACCGGGAAUGGUGAAAGAGGAAUCACCCUCGAUAACCACGACCGACUAGCUGUACUAUAGAGAUAUCAUCAGGAGUACUUAGCAAGGUGUCACCCUCGGUACCCGAUAGUAUCUCUGUAGCUCGUACAACUAAGGGGGUGUAUGUGCUGUGUCGGGUCUGGCUCGUCGAUCAUGGAUCGAGAUUUGAAAAACAAGCGGGGCAACUGGACAACGGGGUCAGAGGGGAUGACUGUUCCACCUAUACUAAGCAGAUUAAAGGUACAGAACUGAGAGUAGUAGUUCAUAAAAAAUAGGCUAUGCAUCAGAUAUAGGGUCUAACUACAAUAGUAGCAAAAUACUAAUGCAAGCAGUAGGAAGAAAGACAUAGGCGAUAUAGGAAUGAUCAAGGGGGGUUUGCUUGCCUUGCUACUUUGCGGCAAAGGACUGAUCGACAGGGUCGUAGAUGUACCCGGCAGCAACGUCAGUCUCGGGGUCUAUCGGUAAGAAGAGGGGGAAGAAACAAUAAAUAAUAGCAAUGGUGCAACACAAUGCAUGACAUGGCAAGAUGCAGGCUAGACAUUAGCUAACACAGCAACCUCCGUCAUAGACGGGUCGGAAGAAUAUCUGACGAUAUUUUUCGGGUUUCGGUCUACUAGCGGUCAGAGUGGAAAUGAUGGAAAUGUUCCACGUUUGCUAUGCUAGAGACGCAUGACAAACGAAUGGACCGUGUAUGCGGGUUCGACUCGUUCUGCUGAUCAACUUUCAUGUUGAAAAUAAUUUGAUCUGACUUACGGAUUAUUUUUUAUUAAUUUUUAAAGUGUUAUUAAAUAUUUAGAAAUUAAAAACAUAUUUAAUAAAAAAGCAUGAUGUCACGCUGACAUCAACAGUUGACUCGUCAAUUGACGAGUGGGUCCCCUGCAUCAUAGACAUGAGUUUUUAAUUAAGAUUAAAUAGUAAUUAAUCAGAUUAAUUUAGUGGGGGACCCACAUGUCAUACUCUGAUUAUUCUAAUUACCUAUUUAAUUAAUUAACUAAUUAAUUAAUAUAUCUAUUUAUUUAUUUAAUAAAAACAUAUUUUUAUUUUUAUUUUUUAAUUUUCACUUUUCUCAAAAGCGGGUGUGGGGCUUCCCUGUCAUAGACAGCGGGGUGAGUUGGCCCCACCGGUGAGUGGCUUAGGCCACAUACACACAAAACAACCAUAAACAUAUUUAUACAAUCAACGUAUUUCUCCACAUACCUACAUACAUAAAUACAUACAUACGUGCAUCUCAUACAUACAAAAUACGUACGGCAUCUAAUACAUACAUACAUACGUCUUUUUAUUUAUUUUUCUUUUUCUCAUCUCAUCUCCUAACUCUCUUUGUUAACAACAGAGAGAGAGGUACAUCUCCCUCUACCCCCUACUCGAUCCUAACGACGUCGGAACAGAGUGCCGUUUGCCAGAAUGGAACCAGGACGGCGCGAGGAAGGAGACGGUGGGAGGAGCCCGAACAGGGGCUCACCGACAUUGACGAGAGGGCCCGGUGAAGCCGGAAUUCUCGGGAGGCGGAGGAGACUUCGAGGAGGAGGACGAGGCGGUGACGGUGGUGGGGCGGUUCCGGUGAGGAUGGUGCCCGCGAGGGUCGCCGGAGGCCACGCCCGGUGGAGGUGAGGCACGGCCGCCGGAUCCGGUCCGGAGGAGGGUCGGCGCCCGGAUGGGGCCGCCGGGGGAGCUCCCGCCGGCGCGGGGCGGUGCUCGGUCGGGGAGGUGGAGGGGGAGGGCCCGGCGAAAUGGGGGUUCAGGGGCGCGCGGUGGGGCGGUGCUGGGUGGGGUCCGCCGGCAGGAGGGAGCACAGGGGAGGCCUCAGCAGGAUCGAGGUGGGAGGCUCGAUGGGGUUCCUGGGGCUGGUCGGUGGGGUGUGGUAAGUGGAGGAAACCUCGAGAGGGAGAGGGUCUUGGUGGGGAGGGGUUGUCGGUGGCGGGGGGGGGGGGUGGAGUGGGUGGUAGGUGGGGGUGUACCGAGAGGGGAGGAGGUCCUCACGGUGGGUGGGGAGAGCGAGGCCAUGGCGAGCAGGGGGCUCGGGUCUCGGGUGGGAGGUGACAGGGCACGUGGGAUGGUGCGGGAGGGUUGGUGGGAGGGCGGUUGGUGAGUGCGGUAGCGGGGGAAGGUGGCGGCGGCCUCGUGGGGAGAGGGGUCGGGCGACUAGGGUUUCCUGGGGGUUGGGAGAGCUGGUUAGGGGGGGGGGCUGGCCGGCUGGGCCAACUUGGCCCACUUGGGCCGGGGGGUUUAGUCUUUCUCUUUUUUUAAUUUCUUUUUUUUAAUUUUAUUCCUUUUUACACAUAUAGCUCCUGUUUUAAUUAUAUAGGGAUUGUAGUAACUUCAAGAUGCCCGAUUGACUUUUAUAACUUAUUUAGGAAAGUUUUAAUAACUUUUCUGACAAUUUUUAUUUCAAACAUUAUAAAACUUUUCCCGUUUGAUUUAUUUUCAAACUUCGAACUUCGACUCGGUUUCGACUAUCACGAGAUCAACAAUAGAAUCACAGUGACAUGGCAUCCUUUGCAUAGGUUUACUCUAGUUCAAGUAUCGAGAUUACUGUAGUCUAAUCCGGGGAUGUCACACUUUUCAACGAUGUGUUCUUCUGAGUGGGCCUAUAACCCACAUGAUCUUUCCUAGGAUCUUUCCUGGCUCUUCUAAUCUUUUCUCGGAGAUCUCUAAUCCUUUUAAAUUAUGACAUAAGUAUGCAUUCCAUCAGUCAUAUUCCUUCUCCAAGAUUGCUUCAAAUUAAUUCUCAUCUUUGGCUCAAGGUUUCAAUCUUCAUUAUUCCGGAGUGUUUCCGUUAUUCUUGGUGGUGUCCCUUCUCAUCAUUCUCGGCUUGGAAGACCGAAGGAGUGUUUCUCUCAAAUCUUGGUCCAUUCUCUUGAAGAUUCAUCAUUUAACCUUUGUGUUAUCAUCUUGAAUUGUUUACAAUCAUUAGUAAUUCCUUCCAUAUCUAUCUGGUGCAUUUCAGAUUUGUUUUUAUUCUUGAUCCUCCGAAGGCCAUCAUUUCAGAAGAUUUAUUCGUUCUCAGCUUUCAGCUUUCAUUCUCAAAUUCUUCUGAAUUGUUGUCUCUUCGUUCUCUCAAUUAUUUCGGUGCCUUGUUCAAUUUUCUAUUAGGCGGCUCAAGAUCUCUUCAUUCUCAAGGUGUUCUUCAAGAUUCUUGUGGUAGUAGUUCUCAUUUUCUUCUUCGUUCCUUCUUGCCUAGAGCUAGUUUCUAUUCUUUCUAACAGAGGCUUUGUGAUGUUGCUCUCUUCAACCUACCAUUUUGUCUUUUCUAGAUCAUAUUGUUCCCUUGUUCAAUUUAGUUAGUUUGUUGUGGAUCUUUAAGAUCUUUCCAUUGUAUCAAAUUUUGCCCCCUUUUCCUACCGAAUUGGUGUGGAAAUUCAGAUUGAAUUCUUGCUUGUUUCUCAUAUCAUUCUCAUCUCUUUGCAACCUCCAAGAGUCAUUGGUUUUGCUCGUUUGUCAAAGAAGUAACUAAGUUUUACCUCUUCCUCGUUCUGAUCUUCUCCCCCUUUCAUUCUUGGAUCUUGGGUCGAGAUCCUCUUGUAGUGUAGGAGAGUUGUGACAGCCCGAGACCGACAUUCCAAAAGAUUCCCCCUUUUAUUCCGUUCUUGUUGUGUGGUUCGUUUGUCUGUCGGAUUCAUCAUCGCAUCAUCCACAUUGCAUCGGCACCGCGUUGCCGCCAGUUUUGAAACAUGCGUCCGUUAUUAGUUGCCGGUUCUUUCCGUUUUCGUCACCGACCGUUUUGAUAUAGAUAAAAUGUUGUUUUAAUAUAGGUAGAUAUUAAAACGUUGAUAAAAUGGUGUUUUUAAAAGUGUUAGAAAAAUAAUCUCGGAUUGAGUCGAAACUUGGCGUGCAGUCUUAUUUUAAUAUAGGUAGGCCGCCUGCUAAACUGAGUCGCAAUCGGAGUCCGUUUGAUACCCGAACGGUCAACCAUAGCGGCACCGUCUUCGGUUUAUUGUCGGACGUUUUCAAGGUUUUAAAUAUCAUUGUUGGGUCGCCCGUUUUCCCUCUCUUCCCCACCUAGCCACUCUACACAGCGACCAAGCCCCUACCCGCAACCAGGAUCGUUCGAUUUCCAUCCUACGCCCGAAAUUGGUGCGAGAUUCCGCAAACCCUAGCCCCUUCCUACAAAUAGAUGCCCCUAACCUUCCCCUAACGGAAACCCUAGCCCCUACCUCGGGAUCCAUGCCACCCAGCCGCCACAGCCACCCUCCUUCUUCUCUCCUCCAGCCACCGGCCCGCGGAGCCCGGGUUGGGACCGCCCGAGCCCAUCUCGGCCCGGAUCGCGCCGCUGUCGCCCCGUUCUGCCCCAAGCUCCGGCUCCUCCCGAUCUCCUCCCGUUCCUGGUCGCAGCCGCCCUCUCCCUGCAGGAGCCCCUCGCCGCCGCGCACCUGGGCGUCGGAGUGACGCCCUCCGGAGAACCAGCCCAGCCCAGUGCCGCACCUCUCUUCCCCUCGCCGUUUUUCUUCCGGCCUCAUGCCCAAGCCUUCUCUCUCGCUAUUGGAUGCAGGUCGCCAGAGCCCCGCCGUCGUGCUUCCGUUGCCGGUAAUGGAGCCGGCCGCCCCAGAUCCGCCCAUCCCGAGCACCGACCCACCCUCGGCGGCUACUACCGGCGGCCUCGAGCGCGAGAUCUGCUCCGCCGCCGCCUCCUCUGUGCGGGAGGAGCACAAGAGGCGCCUCCAGCGCUUUCCCCCACGUAGCCCAACAAUGCCUCCCUCCGCCACGCCCAACUCCGCCGCCCUUUGGCCCAAGGCCCAGCCGGGACGUCGGCGUGCCUCCUCCCCCGAGCCGGCCCAAGUGGUCCGGUGAGUCCGGUUAUCCCUCUCCCCCAUUGCAAAAUUGAUAUCCCGCGCCAUGCCCAGUUUUAGCCCGUUUGCACAGAUUCCGCCUCUUAGUUUUUUUAGGUUUUGCAAUUUAGUAUUUCAGAAAAAGCUAGAUAUUAAAACGACCGUAACUUUUAAUCCGUGUGUCGGUUUGCGACAAGUUAUAUAUGGAACUGGUGUAGUUUUUCUCGUAGAACAUUAUUUUGCAACUUGCAUGCAUAUUUGAAGUAGUUUGAACCACCAUUUGCUUAGAUUUGCAUGCUGUCCUAAUAGGUUAACUGUUGCGUAGAUGUUUUUGUGCGCGUCCGGUUUGUUCAAAUCCUGGAGAUAAAUUUUUCACAAUGUUCGUGACCCUUUGCCUUGUAUUUUAGAGUACUUACUUGCAUUUUUUUGCAUGUAAGAGCUGUCAAUAGUUUACUAUGUCGUGUUUAGGACAUAUUCUCGCAUAUAUGUGUGGCGUUAGUUUUAUUUUGCAAUCCCACAUAUUAUAUAUGUUUUCGGGGUAGAAAAAUCCAUAGAAUUUAACUGUCCAUUUAGUUUUGCCUUUCGAGUAAGUUAGCUUGCAUGAUAUUUUGCCAUGUGCCCUCUUGUUUAUUUUGUGGGAUUUAUUCCGUGCGUGAUAUGCAUGAGUUGUGAACUAGAGAUAUGCUCUUGGACAUGUAGACUAGCCCCUGGUAAUUUUGGUUGCUAUAGAAAUCCAUGUUUAGGUGUUGUUUGCUUGUUGCCAACAUGCUAGAAAAUAGUGCUGAUUUGGAGAUGCUGAAAUAUUUCCAAGUGUGACAUUUGUAAUAUUAUGUUGUUGUCUUGCCAUGAGUUUUGCUAGUGAUCUACAACUCCUUUGAGGUUAGUGCAAUGGAGUUAAUUGUAUUCCUUAAGAUUAUCUAGCAUGCUGUAAAAUUUCAUGCCAUGCGGUGCCCCGUAGCAUAAAGUUUUGCUGUUGUCAAAUGCCUUUUGGUUGGAAACUGCUCUGUCAAAGCUGUCAUUUUCACUAAGUGUGAAACUAUGUGUGAGAUUCCAUUUUGCGAUUUCUUUUCCUAGUGAUCCAUGCUUCCAUGCUAUAUGUUAUUAGUAGGAUGUUGUAGUGCAUCUUGACCACUACUGCCUCAUGUCUUGUUUGAGCAUUUUAGAAUUAUGUAGCUUGUUUUUUUGGGGUGUAGAAAAUGUCAUGUUGCUAUUUUUGGACAGUUUGUAGAAACCUUCUUGGAAUCUCGUUUAGGUUCAUAUUAUGUUGCUGCCUUCUUGGUUAGGAAUGCUUGUGACUAUCAUUGCAUACAUAUUGCAUACAUGGCAUCAUAUCUUGCGGUGAUCAUUUCUUAUGAACCGUAGCUCUGUUUCCAAUGAUCUCUAUGUGUAAAUUGAUUGGAACGAUGCGUAGAAUCACGUGAACCACUUUAUUUUGCUGUUUAACAAAUAUUAAAACGUGUUAGUUCAGAUCUGGACAGCAUUAUAAAUUAACGUAUGGGGUCAGUUCGAAGAUGGUAUAAGUCGUUUCUGACAUCAUUUAAAAUGCCUAGAUAGGUAGCUUAAUUACGCUUCACCUCUUGCCAUGUUUAACCAACAUUUAAUAUGGCCGUCAAAAUAAAUGGGAGUGAACUAAAUAAUUAAAUGUGGAGUUUCAUCAAUAUGCAACUCGUUGCACAUUGAACUUCACUUAAUGUGUAGUGUUUGAUUGUGUGAAUUGCCAUGUCAUUCCGUGCAUAAUUGAUACCGUUCAUGCAUCAUAUGUGUUGUGCAUCGUGUGGUGAAAAUCGUGUGUUGAUUCUUGUUUCCGGUUUGCUUUGUCUUGAUAGAGUUCCGCAAGCGUGUCAGAAUGUGAGGACCCGUUCGACUACAUCGGUUCAUCUGCUUCACGGAGUCAUUCUUCUUCCAAGCAGGAUCUCAGGCAAUAUGAUCAUUUCCCUACAUACCAUUACUAUCAUUGCCAUACUAGUGUUCAUGCAACCUUCAACCUUCUACAACCUAGCAAACCACUGAUUGGCUAUGUUACCGCUUGCUUAACCAUGUGUUAGCGUUGCUAGUUACAGGUGUAGUUGCUUCCAUGUGAUAACAUGGGUUCCUUGUUAUAUCACCAUAUUAAUGCUAUUUAAAUUAAUGCACCUAUAUACUUGGUAAAAGGUGGAAGGCUUGACCUUUCUAGCAUGCUGUUUUUUCCACCUUGCCGCCUUAGUUUCGGCUACCCGUGUUAUAUUCCAUAAUUGAGCGCUCCUAACACGAUCGGGGUUGUUAUGGGGACCGCCUUGAUAUUCAUCUUAGAUUAAAACUGGUGUGGCAAGGCCCAACUUUUAUUCUACAUUUGCCUAAUGACUAAUAAAUAGCAUAUGGACCCACUGGCACAUGCGGAUAAUUAAUCAACCCCCUCGUUAGUGCUCCGCAUGAGUGUUGGUCCAUUCACCUAGCAGUCAGCGGUGCCACCUCGGGGCAACUCGAGCGUUUGGCUAUCGUCCACUAUGCAUAGACGGUUGUGUAGUGAGAAUGAGAUAGGCGGCUCCUAUCGGGUUCAUCGACACACCGGGUGGCCUUGCUAGGUUAGUUUUACCUUUGAUGAAUGUCUUGUGCAUCGGGAUUCCGGUGAUGCUUUGGUUAAUCUCAGAGUUGAGGUUUUCCACUAAGGAGUCCCACGAGAUCGGGAGUUUUGUGAUCGAGGAUUUCUAUGCGGCUUGUGGUAAAUUGUGAUGGACUAGUUGGAGCACCCGUGCAGGGUUAAAUCUUUUGGAAAGUCGUGCCCGCGGUUAUGUGGCAACGUGGAAACUUUGUUUAACAUCCGGUUCUAGGUAACUUGAAGUAAGCUUAAUUAAAAUAUGCCAACUGAGUGCGUUACAGAGUCUGUCUCUUUCGUGAGCUCCUUCUCCGAUCGAGGACACCGUGGGGUUAUGUGUGACGUAAGUAGGUGUUCAGGAUCAUUCAUUCGAUCAUCAGUACUUCACGUCCGCUAUGCAUAGAUCACCCCCUAUUUAUUUUUGUACUCGCAAGUUAGCCAAUAAAUGAAUGCUUAGUCGCUUGCUGCAGCCUCACCACUUAACCAUACCUCACCUAUUAAGCUUUGCUAGUCUUGAUACCUUUGGAAAUAAGAUUGCUGAGUCCCCUGUGGCUCACAGAUUACUACAACAUCACUUGCAGGUACAUGUAAAGUGAUAUUAAGACGAAAGCGCGAUGAUUGUUCAUUUGGAGUUUCUCUUUCUUCUUUAUCGAUCUAGGAUGGGUUCCAGGCCGGCAGCCUGGGAUAGCAAGGAUGGAUUCGUUCUUUUAUCGUUUUUUUCGUCCGUAGACGGACCCUGCUCUUCUACAUGAUGAUUGUAUGUAUUGUAUUGCUGUGACUCUGAUGUAGCUUGUGGCGAGUGUAAGCCAAUUCCAUAUACUCAUCUCUUCAAUACAUGUACUUGUAACGAUAUCCAUUCUUGCAAAACGACGAGAUGCGCUUCUAUUCCUGUCGAGGCCCACAUGCCAAAAUAAGGAUAGGAUUGCAUCUUGGGUGUUACACUACUGUUGGAGGUCGUACCCCUGCACUUGUACCUCUGCUCAUUGAUUCAAUGCGGUACGAGCACAUGAGUCGCCACGGGAUGCAGAAUCCCGCCCCUAGGUUCUCCUAUGAGGGUCACCGUCAGCUACUUGGAUUUAGUGUUUUCUCCAACGUUGAUGUAGCAUUAUUACUAUGUCUCGUUGUUGUAUCCCUCCACCGCGUGCCUGCGUGCCGCCUAGUGAGUCCAGUUUAUCGCCUAAUGUGUCCAUGUUAUCACCAAAUUUCAAAUUUGUAAUCAAUGGUGUGUAAUCGAACUUAUGUACGGGUACAUAUGUCGAACUUGACUACUAUAAAGUAUCUAUCGCAUUUCCUUUCGUCAUGCUUGAUUGCUUCAUGAAUGACUAAUAUGCCUUUGCAAUUACUUUAGGCUAAAGUACCCCUGUUAAAUUUUAGCAGGAUGGUUUGACCAGCUGGCCGCCCACGUGGCCAUUUAAACGAUCCACCACCCCUACCUCCUGAAUAUAUGGCUAGGAUGAUCCAACAGUUUGAACUGAACCGCCAGUUUAUGCAAGGGCUCAUGGAACAGUUUCAAAGGCCGAACAUGGAUUAGCAGCAAGGCGUGACCCUGCAAGACUUCUGCCACCUCAACCCUGAGAUCUACUUUAGCUCAACUCAGGCCCUUAAUGUUGAUGACUGCCUCCGUGACAUUGCUUAUGAACUAGAGUCUACCAAUGUGCCCCUGGUGAGCUAUGCCAACUUUGCAGCUUACUUUCUGAAGGGUCCCGCUGCUCAAUGGUGGGAUAGUCACAGGCGUUCUUAGCCCGCUGGAACUGUCAUCACUUAGACGGGGUUCAAGGCUGCCUACCGUGCGCGCUACAUUCCUCGGGAAAUCAUGGACCGUAAGAAGCGUGAGUUCCGCAACCUUGUCUAGGGCAACAAAACUAUGUAUGCUUAUCAGCGGGAGUUCCUGGACUUAUCCCGCUAUGCUGAAGAAGACAUUGCAACUGAUGCUUGCAAACAGGAGAAAUUACGUGACGGCCUCCACCCUGACACCAAGCUGGCGCUCCUUACUCAGGACUAUGCUGAUUUCGCCACCCUAGUGAACAAGGCCAUUUAGGUUGAGACUGGUCUGCAGGAUUACAAGGAUAGCAGCAAGCGCAAUCGUGACAUGGGCUCAUCUUCAGGCUCAUUUGCUCAGAAGAGGAAGAUCUAGAUUCCAGACAACAUGUACCAUGCACCUGCUCCUGCUCCAAGGCCAUCCUAUGCUGCACCUCAUCUGCCGCCUUCACCACCUAGGCAGCCGUGGCUUCCAGCUCCACCACCUCGAGUUCCUCUUUCCCGUCCUGAGGUCGAAUUGUUCUUCAAGUAUGGCCGUCUAGGUCACCGUACUAGAGACUGCAGGCAGAAUCCGAACCAGCUGGCACUUCCCUCAACUGGCAAUGGCAACAACCAUAACCGCAACAACAAUGCGAAGCCUGCUUAUGUUUGUGGUUAGGCCAACAACAUUGAGAUGGGUCAGGAUCAGGACCAGCCUGCUACCCUGAUGGGUACACUUCUCGUUAACUCAGUACCUGCUUCUGUACUGUUUGAUACUGGAGCAUCGCGUUCCUUUAUGUCAGAAAUUUUUUGCAUACAUGCAUGACAUUAGAAGCGAAGAUAUGAACCUUCCGAUAGUGGUAAACACCCCUGGGGGCCAAUGUCGAACCUCUGUGGUUUGCCCCAAUGUUCUUAUAGAAAUCGAAGGAUUGGAAUUCCUUGCAGCUCCCAUUUUACUGAAGUCUUCCAACAUUGACCUUAUACUGGGAAUGGGCUGGUUGAAGGCUCAUACGGCUUCAAUUGGUUGUGCCACCAAAACUAUCCACCUCCCACACCCUUCAAAUGAACUAAUAAGCUAUCAUGCUCAUCUCGUCCGAGAUGCUGAGGCACAUCUAUAUGCCUUGAAUGCAUUAAAUGCGUCGCCUCUUGAAGGGAUCGAAAACAUACCAAUUGUCCGGGAAUUCCAAGAUGUCUUUCGAGAAGAACUUCCAGGGAUCCCCCCUGCUCGAGCUGUCGAGUUUGUCGUCGACUUGGUACCCGGUACCACUCCUAUCGCCAAGCGUCCUUAUAAAAUGGCACUGCAUGAACUUCUUGAACUUAAGCAAUAAACUGACAAUUCGCUUCGUCUGGGUUUCAUUCGUCCGAGUUCCUCUGCUUGGGGAGCACCUUCUCUCUUUGUUAAGAAGAAGGAUGGAACAAAUCGUUUGGUUCAAGACUAACGUCCUAUCAAUCAGGCCACUAUUCAAAAAAAUAUCCUCUUCCUCGGAUAAAUGAUCUGUGUGAUCAACUUGAUAGUUCCUUAGUUUUCUCUAAGCUCGACUUGAGGUUGGGAGACUACUAGAUCCGUGUUCACAAAGAGGAUAUCCCAAAGACCGCCUUUGUUACUCGCUAUGGAUCAUACGAGUAAACCGUCAUGUCCUUCGGCUUAACCAAUGCACUGGCAACCUUCUCUCGGUUAAUGAAUUAUAUAUUUAUGGACUACUCGACAAAUUCGUCGUGGUAUAUCUGGAUGAUAUUCUGGUAUAUUCCAAGAAUAAAGAAGAGCAUGUCGAACAUCUUUGUCUUGUACUGGAUAAGCUUUAGGAGCAUAAACUCUAUGCGAAGUUUUCCAAAUGUAGGUUAUGGCUGGACGAAGUGACAUACCUUUGUCAUGUGAUCUCCAAAGAUGGUAUUGCGGUGAACCCCGAACGAGUCCAAGCUAUUCUUGACUGGACUCCGCGAAGAAUGUCAAGCAAGUUAGAAGUUUCCUCUGACUCGCCAGCUAUUCCCGUCGAUUCGUCGAGAAUUUCUCAAAGAUUGCAAAGCCCUUAACCAAUCUACUUCACAAAGGCGUUAAGUAUGAGUAGACUGAUCAAUGUCAGGAAAGUUUCCAGGAACUCAAGGGUAAACUAAAGUCCGCUCCGGUACAUGCUCCUCCGGAUACAAAAAGGGAUUUCAUCAUAUAUUGUGACGCUUCUCGUCAAGGAAUAGGUUGUAUCCUUAUGCAAGAUCGCAAAGUGAUUGCUUAUGCAUCACGUCAGCUGCGUCCUCAUGAAGACAACUAUCCAGUUCAUGAUCUCAAGCUUGUUGCGGUUGUACAUUCACUAAAAGAGUGGCGACAAUACCUUCUCGGUAAUCGCUGUGAGAUCUACACCGAUAAUCAAAGUCUGAAGUAUCUGUUCACUCAGCGGGAUCUGAAUAUACGUCAACAGAGAUGGAUGGAGCGUACAACAGAUUUUGACUCUGGUAUAUCGUAUACCCAGACAAGGCUAGCAUAAUGUCUAAUGCCUUGUGUGACAGCCCGAUGACAACGUUCCAGAAGAUUCCCCUUCUAUUCCGUUUUCGUCGCGUGUCUAUUUUGUUUUGUCGCAUCAUCAUUGCAUCAUGCGCGUGCUUAGCAUUGCAUAGGCAUCCCGUUGCCGCUAGUUUUCAAAACUUGCAUCCGUUGUUAGUUGCCGGUUCUCGUCGUUGUCCGGUUUGAGCCCGACCACACACGCACGCGCCCGCGGCAUCGUCAAAUCCCUUUUUUAAAAGUGUGCGUAAAACUUUCUCUGUUUGGGAUGGAAUUUGACGUGCGGUCUUAUUUUUAUAUAGGUAGGCCGCUUGUCGAAUUUUGUCUCGAUUGGAGUCCAUUUGGUACCCGAACGGUCGACCGUAGCGGCACCGUAUUCGGUAUAUCGUCGGACGUCUUUUGGUGUUUUAAUAAUCGUUGCCGCGCCACCUGUUUUCCCUCUCGUCUCCAGUUAUCUACACAACACGGCCACUUAGUCCGUCCCACGUUCGGAAUUAUUCGAAUCCGACCGCGCGGUUGAAACCAGGGCGGAAUUUCGCUAAACCUAGUCCCCUUUUGUCUAUAAAUAGGACCCCCAUGCAUUUUUAGCUGCCCCUCUCGUGUGCCUCGAAAACCGUGCAACCCCCGAAACCCUAGCCGCCACCCCACUCUCUCUCCUCGCUCCCGGCCCGCCCUGGACCGGAUCGGGCCCUCUCGGGCCCAUCUACGCGCCGCCGCCGAUCGGCCGAGCAGCAGCCCCACGCCCAACGGCUCCUCCCUGCCUCCCGUCGCCUGUGCAAGAGCCGGCCAGCCGCACCCCUCGCCCUGCCUCGCGCCGGCAGCUCCCCUCGCCGGAGUGCAGUCGCCGUCGCCCCGCCAAGGCCCCCGCAGCUCCUUUCCCCACCACGGGCCAUCAACCGCCGCCACUAUAGCCUCCCGCCCAGGUCCCCGCCGGUCUCCCGCCGUCGCCCCUUGGCCUCCCGAGCCGCACCGUCGUCGUCCGGCCCGGAUCCGGCAAGGACAGGCCAGAGCUACCAGUUCCCAUAGCCCCACCGGCCGGAGCUCGCCGGUUCCUUCUGGAGCAUGGCCGCCGCCUGGAAGACCCCAAUCCAGGUUGGAUCGUGAGGAGUCCCGCUCGCCUCCAGUGUGCGCUGCCGCGUGGGCCCGAGCUCCCCUCGGCCCACUAGCCCCGCAGCCGGCCUCCUCCCGCAGCGCUUCAGCGGCCCAAGCCCCCCGCCGACCUGGCCCAUGGCCAAGGUGAGUAUUCCCCGCCGUGGCGAGUUAUAUUAAAUUGUGCUGCCUCUUUUUAGGCCCGUAGGUGGAUUCGGCCCAAUAGGUUUUUAUUGGAGUUUUCGAAUUAGAUAGAUUUAAGGAAAUAUAGAUAUAUUAGAAUGCCCGUAUCUUUUAAUCCGUAAGUCGGAUCGCGACGUGUAGCAUAUGGAUUUUGUGUAGAAUCUGGCAUAGAAUACCAUUUUACAACUUGUAUAAUUGUUUGAGGUAGUUUGACGUGCCGAAUGCAUAGUUUUACGUGCUGUUCCAAUAGGUUUCGUCCCGUAUUAUUUUCUUGUGCGUGUCCGGAUUGCCCGAAUGCCGUAGUAGAUAUGUUCAUGUUCUAGGAACCCCUUUGCCAUGUAUUUCAGAGUAGUCGUUGGUAUUUUUGCGUGUAGGGAUUGACCGCUAGUUUAUUUUCCGUGUUUAGGAUAAUAUCUCGCAUUUACGUGUGGCUAUAUUUUUGUGUUGCAACCCCACAUGUUUUAUAUGUUUUCGGGGUAGAAAUUUAUAGGAUUUUUCUGUGCAUUUAGUUUUUAGCUUUUGAGCAAGUUAGUUCGCGUGAUAUUUUGCUAUGUUGCCCUCUUGUCUCUUUAGUGGGAUUUAAUCCGUGCUUCGUUUGAAGGAGUUUCCAACUAGAGAGUUGCCCUUUGAUGUUUAGUCUAGCCCCUGUUUUUUUUGGUUGCAAUAGAAAUCCAUGUUUAGGUGUGGUUUGAUUGCUCUCAAGUUGCUAGAAACAGUGUUGAUUUGGAGAUGCUGAAAUAUUUCUAAGUCUGAAUCUGUUAUAUUUUGUUGUUGUCUUUGCAUGAGUGUAUCUUGUGACCUGUAGCUCUUUUGAGGUUGGUGCAAUGGAAUUAGUUGUAGAGUUUGGAAUUCUCUAGCAUGCUAUGAAUUUUCAUGCCAUUUGGAUUCCUGUAGCUUAUGGUUUUGCUCCUGUCAAUAUGGCUUCAGAUCGAAAACUGCAGUUUCAUAAACUGUUAUUUUCGCUAAGUCUGAAACUGUGUGUGAGAAGCCAUUUUGAGACUUCUUUUCCUAGUGAUCCAUGCUCCCAUGCUAGUUGUUGUUGGUUGUAUGUUGUAGUGAUUCUUUCUCUCUUUCGUUUCAUGCCUUGGUUGAGUACAUUGGAGUUGAGUAGCUCGUAGUUGUGGGGUGUAGAAAAUGCUAUGUGGCUGAUUUUGGCAAAUUGUAGUGAUUUCUUGUUUGCUCGUAGUUGUUGAACCGUAGCUCCGUUUUGACCGUGUCCUAUAUAAAACUUGCUUAGAAUCUCGUGUAGUUUCAUUUUAUCUUGCUGGUUGUAUGUUUCGAAGUGCUCCUGACCGUCGUUGCACACAUUUAGCAUUCAUGCCAUCAUAUCUCGCGGUGCUCGUAUCUUUUGAACCGUAGCUCCGUUGGAGAUGUUCUCUAUGUGUAAAUUGCUUAUAACGUCGCGUAGAAUCAUGUGAACCUAUUUUUUUUUGCUGUUUAACAACUAAUUAAAUGUGUUAGUUCAGAUGUGGACAAAAUUGUAAAUUAACAUCUGAGGUCCUCUCGGAGGUGCUAUAUGUCAUUUCCGACCUCAUUUAAAAUGCCUAGAUAGGUAGAUUAAUUACGCUUCACCUCUUGCCAUGUUUAAUCACAUUUAAUAUUGUCGAGUACCUAAUCGGGAUAGAACUAAAUAACCCCUAUGUGGAGUUUCGUCAAUAUGCAACUCGUUGCAUAUUGAACUUCACUUAAGGUGUAGUGUUUGAUUGUGUGAAUUGUCAUGCCGUGUCUUGCAUGUGUUUAGCUGCUCAUGCAUCAUUUGUGUUUUGCACCGUGUGGUGUAUAUCUGUGUUGAUGCUUUUUUCCGGUUUGUUCCGUCUCGAUAGAGUUCCGCAAGCGUGUCGGCAAGUGAGGACCCGUUCGACUACUUCGGUUUGUCUCCUUCACAGAGUCAUUCUUCUUCCAAGCAGGAUCUCAGGCAAGAUGACCAUUUCCCUAGAUACCAUUACUAUCAUUGCCAUGCUAGUUAUUUCGAUGCUAUCGAUUAUGUCUCGUUGCCUACCACAUGUUAAAUAUCAGCCUCUCAACAAUGCCAUGAAAACCUUCAACCUGUUCAACCUAGCAAACCACUGAUUGGCUAUGUUAUCGCUUGCUUAACCAUGUAUUAGCGUUGCUAGUUCCAGGUGCAGUUGCUUCCAUGUGAUAUCAUGGGUUCCUUGUUAUAUCACCCUAUUAAAUGCUAUUUAAUUUAAUGCACCUAUACACUUGGUAAAAGGUGGAAGGCUCGACCUUUCUAGCCUGGUGUUUUGUUCCACCUUUGCCCCCUUAGUUUCGGCUACCGGUGUUAUGUUCCAUAAUUGAGCGCUCCUAGCACGAUCGGGGUUGUUAUGGGGACCCCCUUGAUAAUUCGUUUUAGAUUAAAGCUGGUCUGGCAAGGCCCAACAUUGGUUCUAUAUUUCCCAAUAUAAUAAAUUUUAUAAUUCUGAAAUGCAUAGGGAGUUAGCGCUACCUGAGGAGUAAUUCAACAUAAUAUAGGGGGGGCCAGUGCUGAUGGUGUUGGUCCGAAAAGGGCAGCCUGCGGGGCCACCACGGGGCAACUCGAGGUUUGGCACCUGUAGCCUUUCCCAUCCGGUCGUGUCCUGAGAACGAGAUACGCGGCUCCUAUCGGGUUCGUCAACAUGUCGGGCGGCCUUGCCGGAUUAGUUUUACCUUUGACGGAAUAUCUUAUGCAUCGGGAUUCCGGUGAUGCUUUGGGUAAUCUCAGAGUUGAGGUUUUCCACUAAGGAGUCCAAUGAGAUCGCGAGUGUUGUGAUCGAGGAUUUCUAUGCGGCUUGUGGUAAUUUGUGAUGGACUAGUUGGAGCACCUCUGCAGUGUUAAAUCUUUCGGAAAGCCGUGCCCAAGGUUAUGUGGCAAUGUGGAAACUUUGUUUAACACUGGUUCUAGAUAACUUGAAGAUAACUUAAUUAAAAUAUGCCAACUGUGUGCGUAACCGUGACUAUCUCUUUCGUGAGUUCCUUCUCCGAUCGAGGACACGGUGGGGUUAUGUCUGACGUAAGUAGGUGUUCAGGAUCAUUCAUUUGAUCAUCACUAGUUCAGGACCGUUAUGCGUAGUUCUUCCCCCUCUUAUUUCUUGUACUCGUAAGUUAGCCACCUCAUAUAAUGCUUAGGCGCCUACUGCAGCCUCACCACUUAAGCAUAUCUCACCCAUUAAGCUUUGCUAGUCUCCAUACCUUUGGAAAUGAGAUUGCUGAGUCCCCUGUGGCUCACAGAUUACUACAACACCAGUUGCAGGUACAUGUAAAGGUUAUUUGACGCGAGCGCGUUGAUUGUUCAUUUGGAGUUGCUUCUUCUUCUUCUACUUCAUCGAUCUAGGAUGGGUUCCAGGCCGGCAGCCUGGGAUAGAAAGGAUGGACGUCCUUCUUCUUUUCUCGUUUGUUUUCGUUCGUAGUCGGACCCUGCUCUUCUUCAUGAUGAUUAUCUAUUGUACUGUUGUGACUCUGAUGUAGCUUGUGGUGAGUGUAAGCCAGUUCUAUAUAUAUAUCUCUUCUUUUCAGUACAUGUACUUGUAUCGAUAUCCAUUCUUGCAACACGACGAGAUGUGCUUCUAUCCCUGACGAGGCCCUCGUGCCAAAUUGAGGAUAGGGUCGCAUCUUGGGCGUGACACCUUGAGUCGCAAGUCGUACUGCAACCAGCUCGACGUUCAUAAGGUUCAUGACCAUCUUCAAGAGGAAUUACGUAAGUUGAACCUCCAUAUUGUUCCUCAGGGUGACCUUGUUCCCCCUCAUGAAGAGUUUCGCAAGAUGAACCUCCGUGUUGUUAAUCAGGGAUCCCUCAGUAACCUUGUGGGGACCCCAACUUACAAGUCGAGACUACCGUGCUCAGUGAUCCCAGAGAUCAAUGCUCACCGAACACAGAUACUGAAUAAAAGAGUCUUACAUCCAUACACAACGUUUGAUACAAUAAAUGACCGCUUUGGUCAAGCCUUACAUAUAUAGGGCCUUAUAGGCCAACACACCAAAUUGGACCAAUAACGGAAUUAUUGGUUGAAAGCAUGAACCCAUGCCAUCAGCCUUAACCUACAAGCAUUCUGACUAGGAAGCAUCCUAGCUCGCAAGAACGUCACCGAGUUAAUCUUCACCAUAUCCUGUUCUUUCAUACCUGGUGAAUGAAAUAACCAUUGGCAAGCCAAUGAGUACUUUGAAUGUACUCGCAAACAGCCCAUGACAUGAACAAUGAAAGUGAAGGAUAACAGUAUCAUGCAUAUUUAGUGUAACUCAUCUGGGUGGAAUGGUCGUGAUUAUGCAUCAACAUAAAGAAUUACUCUUUGAAGAACAGGUUACAGAUAUCAAUAUAUCUGUCGAGAGCGGAACCAUCCGGGUUCACCCUAUAUGCCAACUCACCGAACUUGGUCAUAUCCUCAAUAUGUCAGUUAAGGGCUAAACCAUCCGGGUUCACCCUAUAUGCCAAGUUACCGAACUUGGUCAUAUUAUUACUUCCAUAACAACACCUUUUCCAACACCACACACACACACACACUCACACACACUUGGUUUAUGCGGAAAUAUCAGGACGUAGUUUAGGCAGGAUUACCCAAAUGUCCUUGACCGUGGACACGGCUAUUCGAAUAGUUUACACUCUGAAGAGGUAGUACGAUGGACCCACGAGAUUCGGGAAACUUCCGUGUCAUCCAUGACUCGCGGUAUAUCACAUACCCGAGGUAAGUACCCGAUCAAUGCCUUUCCCCUGACGAUACUAGACAAAGAGAUCCACUCGAUUGGUACCCAGCCCACAUGUCGUACGUCUUACGAGCACCAACUCUGGACAUUAUCGACCAUGCGAGGACCAACGGUGUGACUGGAACUCAUAAAAAUGGCAUAGUCGUCCUACCCGGCACGACCCCAUCACGAGAGUGACCACAAAUCACUCCCGCCACUAGUAAUGUGGCUCUUUGCUAGCACCGACUAGAGUAAUUAACAUAGCCCCGUCCCAUAAGGGGUAACGUGGUCGUACUGGUAAGGUUGGGACGGCCGACACAUCGUAAAUCUAAUCCCAUUUCUGAAACCUUACUCACACAAAUACCGGGUGCAUCACUUCACGAAAAGUGACCACCUAACUCAUCAUCACCCUCGAGCAUUAGUGGCACCCGACGGGGUUUUCAUAAACUCUUACUUUGUGACAACAUCAUGCUUAUGAUAGAACUACUCCUACUUUUACUUGUCAACAUGGUAUGAGGAUGACCCUCAAGGGGUAGGGUCAAGCUCAAUGCAAAAUACUCCGGAGGAGCCUUCGGUAAAAUCAUAACAAAUGAUUACCGUCACUUAUGAUCAUAUGCAACGGGAAUACUUGCUAUUAUAACAUGCAAAGUAACAUAUGCUCAGUCAUGGUCAAAGGGCUGCUUGCCUUGCUGUGUUCGAGGUCUUCCGCUCCAACUCCGAAUACUUCGUCUACCGUCAACUAUCGUCGGAAACAAACAUAGUAAGCCACAUAGCAAGCAAAAUAAAAGUGCCACAAAAAAUAGAAGUUAUAUUUUUCUUGGACCUCUCUGCUCAUAAGAAAAAUACCUGAAGCUUGAUAUAGGAUACUUGGGUCAUCAAGGAUUUUUGAAUGGAUGGAAAGAGCAAUAUGUGAUCAUUGAAGAAGCCAACAGAAAUCAUUCUGUUAAAAAUGAGUGGAGGCACCCAUUUAACAAAGAAUGAUUUUAGAAAUAUUUAGGAAGUGGUUUCACUGGAUUUGGAGUUGGUAUGAAUAUACUAGGAAUUUUCUAAUAUGGAAUAAAUAGCAAUAGGAAGCUAUUUAUUAAUUGAACAGAAAUAUGUCACACAAAAAAUGUUGACCAGGGUUCUAAAAAUAGGGAAUGGUUUAAGAAGGCUCUGGAAAUUUGAAUCACUCCAAUUGGAGUAGAUUUGAAGCCUAUGGGGUUUUUGAAAGAUGGGGCUAAUAAUAUCCAGAUUUGGAUUUUAAAUAAAACACCACAGAAACAUGUCUUGGAAAAAUGUGCAAGGCACAUAAGUGGAUAGAGCUUGAAUUUAGGAACCUGUAGAAAUUUGAACCAAGUGAUUUGGAGUUAGAAUGAAUUUGUAAUGGAUUUUUGAAGAUUGCAGAUAAUGAAAAAGGGAAAGAUACUCAUCCUUCAAGCUAACUAGCGCCGAGGGCGCUAGUUAGGCGAAUGGGCCGGCCCAUAGCUCCAGCCGCGAGCAACCGGCCACGCGGGACGCGCACUCCUGGUAAUGCGCCACCGCGCGAGGGAGACGCCUGCCAGACGGGGAGCGACCACCUAAUCGAGCUGGCCCGGCUGGAGUGGCUGUCCAGGGAGACCCGGCUGCAGGGUCGUGUUCAACCUCCUGCCGUGGGGGAGGUAGGGGAGAUCCGACGAGGCUCCGGCGCCACAGGGCCCCAUCCAUGGUGGCUUGGCCAUUGGAGCGUUUAGGCAACCGCACCGCACCCGCCUGAGGUCCCAUUCCCGCCGGGAAACCACCAAGGUGAGCGGGCCUUGGCCGUGGCGCAACCAGCUUCGGUCGCAAGGAAGAGGGCGCCCCCUGGCCACCAGGGAGGAAGGAGGAAGGGAGGGAAGGGGCGGCGCCGGCUCGGGAGCCCCCAGGGGCAUAGAGGCGAGGGGAAGAGCCCCUGGUUGGCCGGCUCGAGAGGAAGCCUCCGGAGGGGCUUCGGCCAUGGCAGAAAGAGGAGGGAAGGAGGGAGUGGGAAGCUCGAGGAGGACCCGAGAUGGAUCCCAGGAGGAGAGGGAGAGCUUUUGGGAGGCUCAGGCGCUCGAGGAACGCUCAAAGUGGGGGAGGAGGAGCCGAGAAGGAUCUCGGAGCUCUCUGGUGCACCCAGGGCACGGCGACCACGCGUCCCUGAGCCACCUUGGAGUCUUGCUAGCGUCGUGGAGGGGUCAAAGGUGGAGGAAGGGAUGCUCUGGUGCUCUGGGGCACACUGCCGCUACGGAGCAUGAGCUAGGAGACAAGGAAAUGGUGCAGAGCACCAUUAGUGCAGGCUGACAACAUGGUCACCAUGGCCGCGCGUGUCCAGGGUGACCAUAUGACCUGCCAAAGAUGUCUCCCAUGCAAGGCAUGCUUGCCAGAGGUCACUGGUGGAGUUUGGAGCCAAGUGAAGAAGGUUUGAAUGGGUUCUUACUUUGAUUUAGUUUGCAGCAGCAAACUUAGUGCUAGCAAAACUAGUUUGGAGAGGGAGUUAAUUGAGGGAAAACAUUACCAACACUCUUGUUUAUAGAAGGACUACUAGCCUGCCAAAUUUCAGCUCAGGAAAGUGAGCCUAGCUAGUACUUGUAGUGCAAUCCUAUAUUUUAGCUAGAAAUCAACUUGAGGAGGUGCCGCUCAUUUUCUCGACAUGAGCAUGCCAUAUCUUGGUCCCAAAUGAAGUUUUGACACACUAGGGAGGCUCUGGAAAGAAUUGGGGGCCUUAGGUUAAGCAGAAGUGAAACAAGAGGGUAACAAUAGUGAUUCCAUGGGUAAAAUGAGAGAUAGUUACAAAGGGUCACCCUCCAAUAAUUGACCAGUGGCCAUGGGAAUGUUACUCGAGGUGAAAUACAACUAUGUGAGGCUGUGGUAGAAAGUUGAGCUCAAGGGUAAAAGUGCGAGGGGCAAAAGAAGCCCAUUUAGAGAGUGCACACAAGGUGUUUGAUCUAUGGUUAGGCUACCAGAUGGAUUCCAAUGGCUAUGAAACUUAACAGGGUCAAAUAAUAGAUGAAAAUAGGCUUGCACACCAAAUUUGGGAUUUGCUGGAGAAGUUUUCCAAUGUAGACUUGAAAAACCCUAGAAAUGGGCAGAAAUGGGCUUCUUCUUAGAACCUUAUUCAAAUAAAUUCCCACAAAUCCAAUAUUUUGUGUAGGGGCAUUAUUUGAGCAUUAAGGCAUGCACAAAAAGUUUGAGGUCAAUUGGAGAAACUUUAUAAUGUAAAGUUUACCAAAGUCAAAAAUCAACAGAGAGGGUUUUGAGGGUCUUAGGACAAGUUGUUUUAUUCUCCUUGGUGUACCACUUGGUGUGGAUGCCUUAUUGGAGUAUUAGAACAUGUCCACCAAAUUUGAGCACAAUUGGAGACACUUCACAAUGUAGAGUUGCUCAAAUUUGAUUCUGGACAGAUAGGGUUUUAGAGUGAUUAGGGGAGCCAAAUUAACUUGGAUUAAAAUGAAACUGGGCAAGAUCAUCAAGAAUAUCAUAUAUGACAUUCUAUAAUUUUACUAGAAUUUAUUGAGAAUAUUUCUAAUAGAAAUAUUUCAAAAGCUUGAAAUAGGCACGAAUGGUUUUGGAGGGAUUUGCCCUAUAUGUUGAACAUGACCAUGUGUUGAAACUCAUAAAUAUGGAAUAAAUAUAUCCACUGAGUUUUACUAAAUUUUCUUAAAUAUUUUGAAAGCAAUAAAAAUAACUUUCCCUCAUAGGAGACCAUUUCUGGCCUCACAAAAAGGCUUUUAAAUAAAAUAACAAAAUAACUUUUAAAAUAAUAAUAUGGUGGAUUUUGGAAGACAUUUUGAUAAUAGGUUUUAAAUAACAUAAUUGGUGCAAAAUAAAUUCCCUAAUUUGAGGACUUGUAGUACAAACCUAUCUCAGGGGUUUGAAGUUUUAAUUGAAAAAAUGCUUUUUGGUGAAAAUAAUAUUUGGUGAAAAUAGAUAUUUAUCCUAAACACAUGGCAUGAUCAUUAGGCGGGAGAUCCUGGAGUGAGGAGGUGAUUAGGAGGAUGGCUAGGGAUUAACGGGGAGCAAUCACAUGCAUUCAAGCAAACAGGCAAACAAUAGUCACUCCAAGCAUCAACAAGCAUUCACUAAUUUUUUUUAAUGGUCCUAAUUGAAUUAAGUUAAUUAGUCARRNGGNUGCGCUCCCUAGAAUCUCGUCCCCGAGAUUUCAGGCUAGGGUUGUGAGNUACAAAUCUUGAGUCGGAGGNNNNNNNNNNNNNNNNNNNNNNNNNNNNNNNNNNNNNNNNNNNNNNNNNNNNNNNNNNNNNNNNNNNNNNNNNNNNNNNNNNNNNNNNNNNNNNNNNNNNUGCUCAGCCUCGUCCCAUCUCCCUCGGGUCUGUGCCAUGAAGACGCGCGCGGGGACGUCCUAGAGCGGCGGCCGGGCGVGGGCCGCGAGGGCGCCAGGGCAGGGCGGGGGCGGGGGAGUUGCCCGGGGCCGCGCAGCCAGCGAAGAUGCUCUGGCGGGGGCACCACGAGGAGGCCAAGGCUGCGGGUCCGCGGCACCACGCGGGAGCGCGGAGGCGCGUCGGCGGGCCGCCUGCCACCACAGUCGCGAGAUGCGUGGCCGGACGCAAGGCAACGCCGGCAACGGAUGUCGUUCGAGCAAUCCCGCACGCAGUGCCGGUGAUCGAGGCACCGGAAGCAGAGGCCCGCGAGCUCCUCAGGGGACGGGCUGCGACGGCGCGAAGGCGAGGGCUUGGGGGGCGCUCCCGACGGCGAGCCUGCUGGAAGCCGUCGGCGUCGAGCACCGGUCCGCCCGAGACGCGGUGAACCUUCGAGCGGGGACCGAGGCGAUCCUUGGCGGGCUGGCGGGCAGCAGGUGCGACGCGUCCAGGUGCGGUGGCGGCCGGCGACGCUGCUGCGGCCGGCGGGGAGCGGGCGACAUCUCUGUACGAGCGCGCCGAAGACUUGCUCUCCGAACUGGACCAGCGAUCCCCGUAGGAGACGCGCUCGCCGGAGAGGGUCGUUCGGCGGUCGACAGGGUCAGUCACCACCGGGGCCAUGGCGCAGCGGUUGGGGGAGAGAGGGUGGGGCGCGGGGGAGCCUGCCGGCGGGGGGCGGCGGCAGCAGCGCGGCGAGGUGGCUAGACUAGGAGGAGGGAGCGGAGUGCGGAGAGGGAGCGGAGCGCGGAGCCAUACUUCUCUCUUGCUGACAUAAGUUCUCUCGGAGCUCUUCAUUGUGAUCUUGAGGAGAUGGUAAAAAAAUGAUUAGUGGAUUAAUUCUUGGAAAAUUUGGAUUUAGUUAGGUGAUUGUGAUAUUGAACUGUAUUUCAUGAUGAAUUAUGAGAUUUUAGGUGGAUUUAGUUACGUGAUUUAAUCUUGAAAGGAUAGUCUAAAAUGUUUGGUGGAUUAUGAGAUUUUAGGUAUGAUAGAUGAGCAUGGUGAUUAUUAUAUUGGUGGAUAAAUAUAUCUUUAAUUUUGUUUGAAACAUUUUGGAUUUAGUUAGGUGAUUGCAAUAUUAAAUCAAAUUUCACGAUGGAUUAUAAGGUUUUGGUGGAUUAUGUGAAAUUAGGUCUAGUAGGUGAGCUUGGCGGUUAUUAUAUUGGUGAAUAAGCAAUUUUUUAAUAAACUUGAGAAAAUUUGGAUUUAGGUAGGGGAUUGUGAUCUUGAACCAAAUUUCAUGAUGGAUUAUGAGAUUUUAGAUGAAUGUAGUUAGUUGAUUUUCAUCUUGAGAAGAUACUCAAAGAUAUUCGAUGGAUUAACUAAUCUUGAACAAUUUGAAUUUAGUUAGGCUUUUGCGAUAUUGAAUAUAAUUUCAUCAUGAUUUAUGUGGAUUUAGAUAACUUAUUAUGAUCUUGAGAAGAUGGUCAAAGAUGUUCGGUGGAUUUUAAGAUUUUAGGCCUAGUACAUGAGCAUGGUGACUAUUAUAUUGCACCCUCGAGAACCAAUUGAUUACCGGGAUCGCAUGCAAUGUCUCACGUAGUAGUACGAGUACCGACCGACGACGACCAACAAUAUCCAAAUUGACCACCACCACCAACUCUCUACUGAUGCUGAUUAAUCCAGAUACUACGUACUACUCGCUUGCUUGUCCUGAGAAAAGAAAUGCUGCUUAAACUGAUUGUUUUUGAAAAUCCCAUAAAUUGACAGUUAAAGUCCACUAAAAUGCCUUAAGAUAUUCAUUUUAACAUGUUCUGGGUAUCCCUCGUAGAUUCGAUGUUGAUUAAAUUUACCCAUUCUCUACGUACAAUUGGCAAUUCCUUGUUCACAUCUUUGUUAUACAAGCUCAUGUUCUUGGAAGGGAAUUUCUUUUCAUUUUGGGUGCUUAACAUUUUGCAUGUUUGAUGGUUGUUUACUCCUUUUGUAUAAUAUGGUUACCUGAAUCUCCCAUACUAGACUACCAGUGGUGUAGAUUUUUGAUAUUGAGGUUCAGAAAAUUAACUUUGGUUAGCUACCUUAUGGAGGGUUGUUUUUGGAGGAAAAGAAGACAAAGAUCGACGGAUCACCGCAUACAGCCUGCUAGAUAGCACAGCUGGGACAAACCUGAUGAUGAACAUCACUAUUUUCCUGAGAAGGUUAUUCAUCGUUCGCUGCUUACUAUAUUGCAUAUGUGAUGUUGACACUUAAUAUUGUUAUUCAUGACAGAUGUGCUUGUCCGGUAUCCAGCAUGUUGCACCGAAAAAAGAUGGUGCUAUAAUUGGCCAGUGACUAAGUUGUACCAUUCCUUGAACAAACUUAUAUUCGCUCGCGAUAAGAUGUCUAUGGCUCAUCUACAAGAUGGGAACAAAAGGAACAGCUUCAGCAUAGUAUGCUAUCUUAACUGCCACUGUACCUAUCAACCAGAUGAACUAAUUUGAAGAAUGCAGGCCACUGAAAAAAUUAAGCCUCUGUAACAUAGGGAGUCUCAGUGAUGAACCUUUGUGUGUUCUCGUUUUUUAUUUUGAGAGUGUUGUUUCUUUGAAAUGAGAGUGGAGUUCUUGCUCCUCCCCAAUCCCAAAAUCCUCAUGUAACUAUAUGCUACUCUCUGUAACUGCUUGAUGCUGUGAUAAUAUAUGUUCAGGCCGGCGUAAGCCCAUCGUUGUGAUAACUGCUCUAUAUUAUUC
rnacentral:lncRNA from 1 species